GUCAGGGGAAAAAUAAAUUGUUAAAGUUCUAUUGGGACACCCUGUACAGUCGCAGUCUUGUGAUCCCGUAGGAUACACAUCUCAGUCUAACGCCCCGAAGGACGUACAUAUCAGUCUGACGCCCCGAGGGACGUACAUAUCAGUCAAGUGUUCUGCAGAACACAUAUCAGUCAAAUGCUCCCGAAGGUGCAAAAUAAAUUGGUGAUCCCGUGGGACACCUACAAGGUAAUCAUCCCAAUACAACCUAACAAUUUAUCCCCUCAUUCCAUUCAACCCAUCUUUCAGAUACUUCAAAACAUAGAGUUCUUUCUCUCAACGUCCUAACAGUCAACUUAUCUCACUUUAGUCAUAUGUCUGUCAAUAAUAUACUACUAUGUCAGUCAAUCAAACUAUACAGUCAAUACACCCCUCAGAUCACCAGCACACAGUCAUACUUUAGCGUAACGACACCCAAUCUAAACGACAAUCACAAGAUCGCAUCUGCAUCUCAUACAAGCAUAAUCUACAAUUUUCGUCCUGUCCACAUCCACCCACAUAUAUAUAUAUUCCAUGACAAUCACAAUAUGCAUUCAACAUUAAGUCUACUUCAAUUCAUAUGCAUAUAUAUAUAUUUUCAGUCAAUCCACAGUAUACAUUCAACACCGAAUCUACACCCAUACGUGUAUAUACAUAUGUAUCAUCUCAACAUCUUUACUCAGUCAGGGAUAAUCAUUCAGACAUACAAUUCACAAUCAUAAGUGAGUCCAGUAGAAAAUCCCUUACUUUCAAAUUUGUUAAGCUCCUUAACCACGUUGAAGUCUAUGAAGAACGAACCUAAACAUUAAGACAAUUUCUCAAUAAUUCCCUUCAACGCAUCAGUCAUUUAAAUUCAACCCAAUGUGAAUCUUUUUGCAACUUACCCAAAUCUUCGCGAAAGAAAUCGAGCAGUGGCUUUGCGAAGAGAUGACGUGCGACGGAGAGACCGUAUACAGAUGGUCGGAGAGUCGCGCGGCAGUGCAGACAACGGAGGAGAAGGGAUCGGCGGCGGCUGGCUUGGACGGCGGUUGUGAGUGGCGGACGUGGCGGUUACUGGUUCACAUGGCGGCUCGGGCUUCGACGAAGACAGAACCGGCUGAGACGGCUGGGCAGCGGCGGAAGGUCUUGCGGUACAGAUCUGGACGGUGGUCGCAAGGUGACGCGUACGGCGGCCGCAAGGUGACGCGUACGGCUGCCUCACGAACUGGCCGAUGGUUGCAGCGACGUCCGGCUGGGUUUGACGGAACGGAGAGGAAAAGAGAAGAUGGAGAUGGCCGACGGCGGUUGCUGUGCGAACGGAUGGGGCGGCUGCUAGGGUACCGGAAGGAGAAGAAAAGAAAAAUGAGGGAGGGGUUGUGUGCGGCGCUCGCGCGAGAGGAAGAAGGAAGGAAAGAUAUAUUCUUUUCUUUUCUUUUCUUUUUAUUUAAAUUAAGUAUAAAAAUAUAUAUAUAUAUAUAAUUAAAAACAAAAUAUAUAUAUAUACAUACCUUUGGGGCAUUACAUUCUUCCCUCCUUAAGAAACUUUCGUCCUCGAAAGUUUUACUCCUGAAAUAACUCUGGAUAACGAGUCCUCAUCUCUUCCUCUCGCUCCCAUGUCGCCUCUUCAAUUCGAUGAUUCCGCCACAAAACCUUUACUAAUGGAAUGCUUCUAUUACGAAGCAUCUUUACCUCUCUAGCCAGAAUCUCCACAGGUUGUUCUACAUAGCUCAAAUGCUCAUCAAUCUCCAAGGGUUCAUAGUCCACUACAUGAGACGUAUCGGCCACAUACUUCCUCAACAUCGAAACAUGAAAAACAUUAUGAACUGCAGAGAGAGAUGGUGGUAAUGCCAAGCGAUACGCCACAACACCAACCCUCUCUAAGAUCUCAAAUGGUCCAACAAAACGAGGACUUAACUUUCCUUUCUUCUCAAAACGCAUAACACCCUUCAUAGGUGCUACCUUCAAGAAUACCUUUUCUCCCACAUCGAACUUAAGGUCUUUUCGUCGUACAUCCGCAUAACUCUUCUGUCUACUCUGCGCUGUUUGCAUACGUGCUCUAAUCUUUUGAAUAGCCUCAUUAGUAGACCGAACCAAUUCAGGUCCCAUCAAUCUAUGUUCACCAACCUCACUCCAACAAACAGGGGUUCUACAACAUUUGCCAUAUAAAGCCUCAAAUGGUGCCAUACCGAUGGUAGCCUGGAAACUGUUGUUAUAAGCAAACUCCAUCAAAUGUAGAUGAGAGUCCCAACUACCUGGAAACUCUAUAACACAAGCUCGUAGCAUAUCCUCUAAAACUUGGUUCAAACGUUCAGUUUGACCAUCAGUCUGUGGAUGAAAGGCUGUACUGAAAUCCAAUCUCGUACCCAUAGCAGUCUGAAGUCCCUUCCAAAACUUGGAAGUAAACCGUGCAUCCCUAUCAGAAACAAUCGAUACAGGCACUCCAUGCAGUCUCACAAUCUCAGUUAAAUACAACUCUGCCCACUUACUAGCAGUAUAAGUGGAUUUUCCUGGUACAAAAUGUGCCGAUUUUGUAAGCCUGUCUAUGACAACCAGAAUCACUGUGAAACCCUUCAGGGUCUUAGGCAGCCCUGAAAUAAAAUCCAUCGACACAUUCUCUCACUUCCACUCUGGCACACUUAAAGGUUGUAAUAAACCUGCUGGUUUCUGUCUAGGUGCCUUAACUUGCUGACAUACUAGACACUUACUAACAAAUUCCGCCACUUCCCUUUUCAUAUUCCGCCACCAGUAAAAUCGUUUUAAAUCCUGAUACAUUUUCGUGCUACCAGGAUGCAUGGAAAAUGGGGAAUUAUGGGCUUCAUCUAGUAAGUCAAUCUUAACUGUACUGUUCGCUGGCACACAUAAACGUCUUUCAAACAUCAACCCACCAUCAGAGGAUAUGGAGAACUCAUCAGUCUGCCCUGUUUCAACAAGGCGACGUCUCUCCAUCAAAUAAGGAUCACUACUCUGAGCAUCAACAAUCUUGUGCCUCAGAGUCGGUUGCACCGUUAAUUGAGCUAGCUGUGAGGUGACUCUCCCCACAGACACUGCAAUCUCAGCUCUCUCCAAGUCUCGAUGCACUGGUACCUGUCUAGUAAUGAGUGCUGCCGAAUGUGAUACUUUUCUACUAAGAGCAUCAGCCACCACAUUCGCCUUACCAGGAUGGUACAAAAUCUCACAAUCAUAGUCAUUUACUAACUGAAACCAUCUUUGCUAUCUCAUACUCAACUUCUUUUGAGUGAAGAAGUAUUUUAUACUCUUUUGGUUAGAAAAUAUCUAUAUCUUUUCAUCAUACAAAUAGUGCCUUCAAAUCAUUAAUGUAAAAACCACAACUGUCAAUUCCAUAUCAUAAGUUGGAUAAUUUUCCUCAUGACUCUUCAACUGACGAGGAGCACAAGCAACUACUUUAACUUGUUGAAUCAGAAUACCUUUUAAAUUUUCCUAAAAGAAUCACUAUAAAUUACGAAACUUUCUGAACCAUCAUGUACGGUAAGCACGGGAGUUGUACAAGCUUCUACUUAAGAUCCUGAACACUAUCCUCAUAGGCUUUGUCCCAAACAAACAGAGUCCCUUUUCUUAGUUAACUGAGUCAAAGGAGUAGCUAUACGAGAAAAUUCUUAUACAAACCGUUAGUAAUAACCUGCUAACCCUAAAAGACUAUAAACCUCACUGACUAUGAAAAGUCGAGGCCAACUAGUAACAACUUCAAUCUUUUGUGAGAUCCACAUAAAUGUCACCUCUAGAUACCACAUGGCUUGGAAAGAUACUUGGCCUCAUCCAAAACUCACAUUUUGAAAACUUUGCAUACAAUUUGUUGACUCGAAGAGCCUCUAAAACCAUGUUAAAUGUUCCUCAUGCGCUGUCUCUAUUUUGGAAUAAAUUAAGAUAUCGUCAAUAGAUACAAUCACAAAAGUGUCUAAGAGAUCGUUAAACACUUUGUUCAUCAAGUCGUAAACAUUGUUUGAGCAUUUGCCAACUCAAAAGACAUCAUAAUGAACUCAUGAUGUCCAUAUCUCGAAAGAAAAUCUGCCUUAGGAAUGUCACUGUUCUCUAAUCCUCAACAAGUCAUAACCUGAAUGUAAUUCAAUCUUAAAGAACACGGACUUAUUGCAGUUGAUCAAACAAAUCCUCAUUCAUUGGUAAAAGAUAUUUAUUCUUAACCGACACCUUAUUCAACUUUCUACAAUCGAAACAUAAGUGCAUCGACCCAUCUUUCUUCUUAAUAAACAAAAAUUGGUGCACCCCAAGAUAACAUACUUCGUCGAAUGUAGUCCUUGUCAAACAUUUCUUUCAAUUGCACCUUCAAAUCUUUCAACUCUGUUGGGGCCAUUUUGUAUGAAGCUUUAGAUAUAGGAACGAGUCUAACUCUAUCUCAAUAGGAAGACCAAUUUCUGUUUAGCGCGGUAUUCUUAGAAACUCUUCUAGAAAAAUAUCAUAAUACUUUUUCACCACUGAUUCAAAUAACAAAGAAACAUCGACUUCUCUGAUGUCUACCACACUAGUCAAAUACAACAGGUACCCUGGUCAAGCAACUUACUAACCUUCAUAGCUGGGAUAACUUUUAGCGAAACGAUAGUUCCAACCUCUUUGUACUUGAAACUAGCCUCUGGAGAAGGAUUAGAAACUACAUUUUCGCUGAACAUUUUAUGUUUACAUGGUUAAACUACAUUCCAAUUUUCAAACUCCAAACUAGUAACUUUUCAUUCACGAGAAACUCAAAAUUGUUUCUUAAAGUCACAUCAAGACAACCAUGCUCAUCUUCCUUGUUUCUUUUCCAAUACCUCCAUUCUAAAACCAUUUAAUGUGUUUCGUAUAAACUUGACCGUGUAUUUAGUCCUCUUUAAAACCACCUACAUAACUUAUUUUUCUUAGAUUUCCAAUCACAAAACAGACAUUUUCGCUAACAACGUCUUACUUUUCUACUACUCGACCACUCCUUUGAACACCUCUACAUGACAACAUUUUUCCUAAAUUUCACCAUUAAAUCCUUCACCAUUAAAUCAUAACAUUCAUGUAAUUCUAGUUUAACUUAGGCAAGGUCAUAUACAUAAACCAUACAUAUAAGCAUAAAGCAUACCUGACGAGAGACGAAGGGUCGCGUUAGCCAUAGGAACACAAAAACAUAGACUUACAUCGUAAGUCAGUCUACAGAACCUAAAACUUAGGCUCUGAUACCAACUGUAACGACCCAACUUUUCAAAGUAAGUCGAGAUCGUUAGUUUUUAACAAAUAAAAGACUUUGAUUAAUAUAAAACAAAACGUAAGCAAUUUAAAAAAAAAACAUCUUCAAGUCAGGCCUGAUUUUUAAACAUUCAAGAAAACAUAAAAUAAUACUGUUUGCAACAAACGUUUGUAAACUAAAUUUUUAUCUCAAUCUUAAAUAAGCGGAAGCAAUUACACGUUUCCUAUGGCAUCACGCUUCCUUCCUGCCCCUCGCCGGUUUGCCGCCUUUAUUACCUUUGCCUGAAAAUUAAACAUAAGAAGGGUGAGUAUUUUAAAUACUCAGUAAGAGACCCUCUACUGGUCUCGUCAGGGGAAAAAUAAAUUGUUAAAGUUCUAUUGGGACACCCUGUACAGUCGCAGUCUUGUGAUCCCGUAGGAUACACAUCUCAGUCUAACGCCCCGAAGGACGUACAUAUCAGUCUGACGCCCCGAGGGACGUACAUAUCAGUCAAGUGUUCUGCAGAACACAUAUCAGUCAAAUGCUCCCGAAGGUGCAAAAUAAAUUGGUGAUCCCGUGGGACACCUACAAGGUAAUCAUCCAAUACAACCUAACAAUUUAUCCCCUCAUUCCAUUCAACCCAUCUUUCAGAUACUUCAAAACAUAGAGUUCUUUCUCUCAACGUCCUAACAGUCAACUUAUCUCACUUUAGUCAUAUGUCUGUCAAUAAUAUACUACUAUGUCAGUCAAUCAAACUAUACAGUCAAUACACCCCUCAGAUCACCAGCACACAGUCAUACUUUAGCGUAACGACACCCAAUCUAAACGACAAUCACAAGAUCGCAUCUGCAUCUCAUACAAGCAUAAUCUACAAUUUUCGUCCUGUCCACAUCCACCCACAUAUAUAUAUAUUCCAUGACAAUCACAAUAUGCAUUCAACAUUAAGUCUACUUCAAUUCAUAUGCAUAUAUAUAUAUUUUCAGUCAAUCCACAGUAUACAUUCAACACCGAAUCUACACCCAUACGUGUAUAUACAUAUGUAUCAUCUCAACAUCUUUACUCAGUCAGGGAUAAUCAUUCAGACAUACAAUUCACAAUCAUAAGUGAGUCCAGUAGAAAAUCCCUUACUUUCAAAUUUGUUAAGCUCCUUAACCACGUUGAAGUCUAUGAAGAACGAACCUAAACAUUAAGACAAUUUCUCAAUAAUUCCCUUCAACGCAUCAGUCAUUUAAAUUCAACCCAAUGUGAAUCUUUUUGCAACUUACCCAAAUCUUCGCGAAAGAAAUCGAGCAGUGGCUUUGCGAAGAGAUGACGUGCGACGGAGAGACCGUAUACAGAUGGUCGGAGAGUCGCGCGGCAGUGCAGACAACGGAGGAGAAGGGAUCGGCGGCGGCUGGCUUGGACGGCGGUUGUGAGUGGCGGACGUGGCGGUUACUGGUUCACAUGGCGGCUCGGGCUUCGACGAAGACAGAACCGGCUGAGACGGCUGGGCAGCGGCGGAAGGUCUUGCGGUACAGAUCUGGACGGUGGUCGCAAGGUGACGCGUACGGCGGCCGCAAGGUGACGCGUACGGCUGCCUCACGAACUGGCCGAUGGUUGCAGCGACGUCCGGCUGGGUUUGGACGGAACGGAGAGGAAAAGAGAAGAUGGAGAUGGCCGACGGCGGUUGCUGUGCGAACGGAUGGGGCGGCUGCUAGGGUACCGGAAGGAGAAGAAAAGAAAAAUGAGGGAGGGGUUGUGUGCGGCGCUCGCGCGAGAGGAAGAAGGAAGGAAAGAUAUAUUCUUUUCUUUUCUUUUCUUUUUAUUUAAAUUAAGUAUAAAAAUAUAUAUAUAUAUAUAAUUAAAAACAAAAUAUAUAUAUAUACAUACCUUUGGGGCAUUACAAAAUCAAAAAGCCCUGGAAGCACCCGUUGUUUUUUUACAUAUUUCAGGUUUGCCCUUCGUUUCCAUCUUCUUUCUUCUGCAACUUUUUUUCAAACUGUUAUUUAGUUCAAGAUAGUGUACCAAAUAUAAAAGAUAUAUUUUUCUUUUAUUUUAUUAAACUGUUAUUUGGUUGUUCAAGAUCGUGUACCAAAUAUAAAAGACCUUUGUACACAAUUUCGAAAAAAAAUCGUUGGAAAAUUUGUACAUGUUUAGAGUUGGCUACAACCAAAUCUAACAAAUAUAAAACAUCUUGAAUAGUUAAAUCUAAACGAUCAUGUACCAAAUAAUUUUGAAAAAGAUUAUUUAGUUUUAGAUACCAAAAUUCUAAACAAUCGUGUACCAAAGAAUAGCCAAAUCUAAAUGAUCAUGUACUAAAAAAUAGACAAAUCUAAACGGAUCUUGUACUAAAGAAUUUUGAAAAAAAUUGUUUACAUUUUGGUAGCCAAAUCUAAACGAUCUCACAUACAAGAUCAUGUAUCGAAAAUAUUAUGCAUACGCGCACAAGUGACCAAUUAAUCACUUGUUAACUGAGACAUUUUUUGAAUUUUUCAUCGCGAGUCUAUGAACUUUUUCCGUUUUCAAAAUUUUUCUAUAUUGUAAAUAAUUUUUGGCUUGUUAUAUUUUUGAAAAAAACACUAGAAGAAAUAUGGGCUUUGACGUCUAUUGAAAAAAAUAAAGACAGGUCUUUAAUGUCGCUUUUUAAAAUGCAAAUGUUUAAUGUCGGUUUUAAACCGACAUCCAAUAGGGAGCUUUAAACCGACUUCAUUUAUUAUUUUUUUUUUGUAAAGCCAAGGCAAUAAAAUUAAAAGCAACAUUAAACCUCAUUUACUCUUAUCAGCUCUUAUUUUACUCUUUCACGCCUUUCUUCCCUCUCUUCUCAAUCUCACUUUAGGGUUUAGGGUCGAACCACCACCGUGUUGACUUUUUGGUCAUUAAUUUCAAAUUAAUUAAUUAAUUAGUAUUUUGAUGAUAACAAAUUUAAUUUUUUUAUUGACAAUUUUAUUAUUUUAAAUAGUUCAUAACGUAGAGUUUGAAACAAUGAUUCUGAAGCCUCUUGAAUCGUACAAAUUGAAGUUCAAACAAAGAAAAUAUUGCUAUAAAAGAAGCCUAAUGGAAAAAUACCCGAGAUGGUGAUGUGGCGACUAAGUAUUCAAUUUGAACCAAUUAGAGAAAGUCACUUGCAGCAAUGAAGGAGUAACAAAUGUGGCUUUUGAUUUUGAUUUAUAAAGAAAAUGAAUUUAAAAAGAUAACGACUUUAAUAUUAUUAUUAUUAUUUAUUUUUGUGUCUAACAACUAGUUUUUUUAAUAGAAAAGAUGGUGAUGUUGCUUUAUUGGGUUUUAAACAAAGAAUUUUGAAAAGACAUAUUAUAUUAUUAUUUGUAUUGUGUCUAACGGCUAUUUAAAUUAAAAUCUCAUCCAUUCAUUUUUCAUUUUACUUACCUCCAAUGACCCAAAAUAAUUUUGAUUUUAUGUUUCCCUUUUUUUAAUUAAAUACUUCAUUUUUUUAACAAAUUUUCAAGAAUAUUACUGAACUUUAGGAUUCUCAAAAAUUGUGGAAGUCAAUAUUGUUGUUUUCUGUAAAGUUUCCAAUUUUUAUUCUUUUCAAUUUGUCAUUGAGAGAAUUCUUAUUGUAUUGUGAGGGUUAAUGACUUAGAGUUUCAAAUUGUAUACUCAUUCUUUUAGAGAGUUAUCUUUUGUGUGAUUUAAAACUUCAACAUAUUGUAACGGUUGAAUUCUAACUCGUGGAAAGAAUCGAGUUUUCUCUUGAACCUGAAAAAGGAGCAACUAGUAGUUCAGGUCUAAUCCGUGGAAAGAGCCAAAAGAAAAUUUUCAAUCAAAAUCCCAAGAUGUGCUUGGGAAAGUGGAUGUAGGUUGAGUUUUGGUAAAAUUACGGUGUCUUCUUCUCUAACUCAUUUCUAAUUAUUUAUUAAUUUAAUUUUUUUGUAAUAUAUUUUUGUUGGUUGAGUUUGAUUGCAUACUCCUAUCCAUAUCUUUUUAUCAAUCUUGUUAUUUAACACUUCUAGAAAGAUUCCUUAUUUAAUUUAAAUUUUAUCUAAUUAAUUUAAUUUAGGUUUAUUUGUUAAAAAGUUUAACUAAACCCUAUUCACCCCUCUAGGAUUGCAAUACCGAUCGAGCACACCGAACUGUUUACUGUUGCGCCUUUGUGGCCAAUCGUCCCUCAUGCCCACUGUCACUUAGAACCCCACCUUCGAGCCCAUCAUCACACCAUUCUACAUCUUCGAAGAUCUGCUAUUUACGUCGGUUAGACAAUUCAAGCUUAUGAAUUCGCUUAGAGUUACAUAUGCAUGUGAAUUGGUGUUGUCUAAUUUUUUUAGAGAGUUAGUUUCUUGUAGGAUAAAGUUGAUUAGAGGGUGAAGCUUAAGUUCCUUAUUUUGUUUUGUGAUUAAAAUUCCUUCCAAAUUAAGGGUUGAAAUAGAUAAAAUAUUAUAAGCACAACUUUUCUUUCUCCACCAUUUCAUAAGUUUCUUAGCAAUAGAUGUAGAGCGACGAGGUAAUAACACUAUUAAAGAUAUCGGUUGAAAAUCGACGUUAAUUAAAGACCUUUAAUAUCGAUUUUAAACUAGCAUUAAAGGUCUUUUUAAUGUCGGUUGUAAACGGACUUCAAAAUCCAACCAACAUUAAAAAACUUUAAUAACAUUAUGAAAGAUGUCACAUUUGUACUAAUGAAAUAAAAAAACCUAUCAGUAUGCAUUAUAGCAAAUAAAAUAAAUUAUCUAAUACAACUAAUCUUGAAAAAUUGGACAAAGUAAUAGAAUUGUCAGUGCCCUUGAAAUGUUGUUCAAAUCAGAUUUUCACAUCCAAAUCCAACAAAACUAAUUUUCAUCAAGGUAAAUGACGUGGUUUUUGAAUAGCAUGGACAUAAAAUUGCAAACUUUAAAUUGAAAAUUAAGAUGCAAAAUGAGUAAGGGUUCUAGAAAAAGUAAGUUUAAAUUCAAAAUUAAACUUGCAUAAACCAGCUCUUCCAGAAAAAGUAGCAUAAAUGUUGGAGGUUUGAUUGUUCCACCACUCCACACACACACAUAUUAUUGAAGAAGUUUCCUAAAGAACGAGAAAUUGGAUGUUUUUACUACAAAACUCUUCCAAACCAACCACAUCCUUAACUACAGAGUUUUUAUCAUUUAGAAAAGAAAUUAGAACAAUUCAACUUAUUUGGUAUAAAAACUUGAUUAAUCUACCUAAAUGUAAAAAGUAUCUAAAUAUUUACUGCCAAUCUAAAAAAGAGAAGGAAAGCCGACCAAGUUUGAUAAUUAUUUUUCCAUAAAUUUCAUAUAUGUUUUUGUUAGUUCUUAAUACAGUGGGACAAGUUGUGAACUUCUUUUCUUUCUUCUUUGUGAUCAUUUAUGUCGGAAGCUUUUUCGCCAUUUUGGAGUUUAUUAUAUGAAUGUUUUUGUUGGUUUUGAAUAUUAUGGGACGAGUUGUGAACUUCUUUUCUUCUUCUUUGUGAUCAUUUAUAUUGGAAGCUUUCUCGCCAUUUUUGAGUUUAUUAUACGAUUGUUUAAAUUUGAAGCAUUUUUUCAUCAUAUAAAAUAAACUACACGAUCGUGUAUCAUGGUGUAAAUCAUUGUUAAUUACACUGUAGUCUACAUGAUCGUUUGAAAAGAAGAUUAUUUAUACAGAUCAUUUAUGUUUGAAGCUUUCUCUCAAUCGUUUAAAUUUUAUCAUCCGAUCGUUUAAAUUUGAAAAAUAUUUUUUUUUCCAUCGUUUAAAAUGAAUUAUAGGAUUGUGUAUCAUAAUUUAUAUCAUUGUUUAGACGAUAGUAAAUGAUCGUUUAGAAGAAGAUUAUAUUAUAUAGUCGCUUAUGUCUAAAGCUUUCUCGCAAUUGUUCAGAGUUUAUUAUUCGAUUGUUUAAAAUGAACUACAUGAUCGUGUAUCAAACUAUCGUUUAGAAUAAAAUUACUUACCCGUGUGUUGUCGAUUAUUAAUCGUGUGUUGAUUGGGGUAUUUUUGGUAUUUCAUAUCGUGCACAGAUUAUUAAUUGGUUUGUUAUAUUAAAAAAAAAAAGUCUCAAAACUAACAAUAUAAUUAUUGCAAACUAUUCUUAUCCAUGAUAAUAGAGUCUCUAGAAUUUUCUCAUUUGGGUGCAUGCACUGUUGUUGAUCCACUAACCAUUUUCUGCAGUUCACCGUCGUCAUCCGUCAUACAUAUUUUUUGUUUGCUCUUAGUUUUAUUUUAUUUUAAUAUUUAUGCUCAAUUACAAAUAUAUAAAAAUUAUGGCUAAAUUAAUUUCAAUCUUGAUAAUAAAUAAACAUAUCUACAGCACAGUCAUGGAAGAUCUUUACUUUGUUAGGAAAAAAAAGAUCACAAACAUAGGUUUCUACUAGGUAACAAAGAACUUCAAUAAAUAUUAAUUUUUUGUAUGUACUUUUAAAGCAACAAAUAUAUUGUUAUUGUACAAAAAAAAGAAGAAAAAAAACUAGUUUUAUUUCACUCAUUCGGCCUCUCAAUUAGGUCGUAAGCAUAUUUUUAUAUUCCUUUUUAAAACUAAUAAAUUUUGUUAGUGAACAAUGAUGUUUGCUGUACCUAAAUCCAAUUGCCUAAUUAUAUAUGAAUAAUUUUUGUAUUGAAUGAACCACUAGAGUAAGAGUCAAACGGCAAGGGACAAGAUGGCCAAUAUCGAAAGGAAAACUUAAAAGAGUAAAUUGCUAAAACUAAGAGAAAUGAUAGCCAUAUUCAUAACUUUUAAUCCAACCCUUUUAGACUGAUAGCUCCGUGAAAUGUAAGAUCUAACCUAAUAACCACUCUUUCAAGCAGGACAUCAAGCAAAUAUCAAUGAAACAUUGGUCAGAAGUUCAAUAGCAUUAAACGCUAACAUGCUAGAAUGGUCCAUGCAUAGAUAGAACCAAGAAACAGAUUUCACUUAUACAAUCAAAUAGAGAAAUAGAAACAAAUCGGGUUCUUAACUUCCGUCCUUGAGCUUGAGACGGCCCUCCAAGGAUCUCUUCAAUCAACCAAACCUUUGGAAGCUCUCAAAUCUUGCUCUCAUCUAGAAGUUGGCUCUUGCUUGUUUUCGUUACCCUAGUUGUGUUAGCUUUAGAACUUCAAUAAAGUUGAGUAUUUUGAUGAUAGUAAACUUGAGUUGUACUAAUAGUAAUGGUUUUUAGAGUUUCAAAAGUAUUAUUAUGGAGUUCAAAAAGGCGAUUCUAAUGCAUCUUGUCACCUUGCCUCAAGCACUUACUUUCUCGUCCCUAGACCUGGCGUGAAUGUCACUUGAACAACCUCAACUGACACAUGAAAUGGAAGACUGAAAAUCAUCAACAACGGAAGUCUUUUAACUUGAAAUAUUUAAAAUCGUUGGGUGACCCAUUUGAAAUCUUUUAUAAAAUGUAUCAUGAAUAAUGAACAAAAGAUGAAUAUAUAAGUGUUUGAACAAUCACAUUACUAUUUUGAAACAAAACAAUGUCCUUGUAUAAUGAAAGCUAAGUUGGCCUGUCAGCAGUAUGUUCAGCACACAGAUAUCCACAAUCUAUACCUGAAAAGUGAAAAAACGUUUUUGAUAAGGUAAGUCGAAAGACUUAGUGACCAACGGUUUUAGAAAACAGGUUUUCAUAAAUAUUUUAGUAUAAAACUGAAGCUUAAAUACAUUUUGUAGUAAAAAAUUAGAUGAUGACGAUCAAGGUUAGUUGUUGCGUCGUGAUGAAUCACUGCCUUGAAAGCAAAAUUCGGCCAGACUGUGGUGCUAAUCUCAUUGCCGGUUGCUCCCCAAGGUUAACACAACUCCCUAUUCUUGAUGUGCACUCGCCGGAAAUAGGAAUAGAAACGAUGAAGAAUUGCUCAGAUGUAUGAGUGGAGAGGAAGAUCUAGAGAGAAAAGUAGAGAUGGGAUGUUUUCAAUGAUCAUGAAGUAUAUAUGGGUGGAGAGGAAGAUCUAGAGAGAAAAGUAGAGAUGUGAUGUUUUCGAUGAUCAUAAUGAAAUAGAGGAGGCCUCUAUUUAUAAUGGAGUCCUCAACUGAAAUCGUGGGCGUAGAGGAAGGUAGAGACGCGACACUUUGUGGAAGACCGACUAUUCAGGAGAAGUGGCCCAAAUUUGACGCGUGGAAAAAUCGUACAUUCAGUUGCCAAGCCCGAGCGGCAAGGAUGCGCGUGAUGAUAAAGUCAUUCUAUCACCAUCAACAAAAUUUAUAAUCCUCUAGUAACACUUCACUAAUUAAACUCAUUUGUUUUUUUUUCCAGAUUUUCCAAUGUGGGACAACAAUAGAUGGGUAACUUUAAAUUGGGCAUUGGCCCACAGGCUUUUCCAACAAUCCCCCACAAAAGACUGUAGCGGCAAAGUUACAUAAAGGUCGAGAGAAAGAUAGUUCUGAGCAAGGAUGAGAUAUUAAGCUUAGACAUAAAUAUCCGAAGAUUUGAAUUGAUGCGUAGUGAAGUAAGACAACAACCUUGUUGAAGAAAGUAAAAUUAGAUCUUGAACUUUCUCUAAUGUUAAUUGAGACCCUUACAACACGCUCUAUCCGUAAUUUCGAUCAUCGUUUAUGCAGUAUGAAUUUGUGCCUUUUUGGCCAUGCACAUAGAAUGAACCCCAGGUCAUCAUGAAAGCUCUAGAAAGAGGUCCUUAAACUCUUUCAUAGAAGGCGGCCCCACCUUCACAAUCAUGUUAUAUGCCCCAUCAAGUUUGCUAAAGAAAAUCAUGCUAUAAACUCAGAUUUCAUAGUGGAUAUGGCUAUGUAGGUCUGUUUAGCAAAAUUCCAAGAUAUUGCUCCUCCCCCGAGCAAAAAUACGUAUCCACUGGUACAGUUUACCUCAUCGUUAUCUGUAACCCAGUUUGCAUCACAAUAUCCUUCUAAUAUAGCAGGAAACUUAUUGAAGUGCAAAUUGUAGUUUAUAGUUCCUUUAAGAUAUCUCAACAGAUGACGUGAGGCAUCCCAGUGGUAUCUAUUAGGAUUAUGUGUAUAUCUACUCAAUCUACUUACAACAUAUGCAAUACCGGGUCUAGUGUGGUUCAUUAAGUACAUAACACUACCUAUGAUUUUAGCAUAGUCAGGUUGAGAUACACUCUCUCCUUUGUUCUUUUUAAGGUGUUUACUGGCAUCGUAGGGAGUUCUCACUAGAGAGACAUCGAAGGAGUCAAAUUUCUUUAAUAAAAUCUCAGUAUAAUGAACAAAGUUCUAGCAUUCUUCCAUGUUCUAGCGUUGUUUCGAGUCAAAGUCAGAUCCACAACACAUUCUUCUAUCAAGGAUCGUUAGUCGUAGCACGUCAUAAAUCGUGUGUCGUUCAACAAGCCAACAUCUUCGUUUAGCGUCUGAUGAAGCCUUGCUAUCCUCUGUCAAGCCAAGUUGUCCCUUGUUGCAGUCGCAUUUGAGCUCCAUUCAAGGUCUCCUCCAUCCGCCAUGCUUCCAUUGUGUCUGACCCAGUAAUGAGUCGACACCUUUGUCCUAGAGUCGUAUGUUUUUCUCCAACCAACCCGAGUUGAGUUUCUUUUGGUUUAGCCAUGCCACCAGUUCAGCCAUGUUGAGCCAUUUUGGUAUUUUUGGUUAAGUAAAUUGGUUGAGCCAUUUUGGUUUUUUGGUUAAGUAAAUUGGGAGAAUUCUUGAAUAAUACUCAAUUGUCAAUUUUAUUAAUGAAAGGUACUCAAAUUUUCCUUACUGUGUUUAAGAACCGUUUAAUUUGAAAAUUCUUGGCAGUAAAUUGGAGAGCAAAUGUCUAGCCAAUCUGAAGGUAUAAGAUUUCUAUUGUCGGACCUUAGAUUGAAGUCAAAAUAAUGUAUCGUAUGAGAUGGUCUAACUAUUUAUUCGUAGCGUUAAAUUGUGUUGAUGGCUUAAUUACUAUAUUGUUGACUGAUGUGAGAUAUGUACUAGCAAGCUUAUUUUGACUGGUUAUAUGUUGAACUAAAGUAUUGUUGGUAGUUCUAAUCAUAUUUGUUGUGACUAUUUAGAUUGUAUUGAACCUAUUUGUAUGAAGGAAAAAAUGUUAACUUUAGCUAUUGGAUAAUGUACCUUUUUAGCAUAGUGUCCUACGGGAUCACAUGUCACACCUCGCCCCACAAAUAAUCUGUUUGCUUGUCUCACGAGACGCAGUGUGACUUGAACAUCCUUAACGAUGUUAGACGUCAAAUACACUCGUCUUAACGUCCUUAACUUAGCUUAAACACCAAAAUAUUUAACUUCAUGAAAUUCCUUUAGGCGAUAAAGAACUUAAUGUGGAAUGAUAAAACAACUUUAAACUUUUAUUCCUUAACAAGGCAUUUAGUACUAGAACAUAAUGAUACAACACAACCAAAAGAUAAAAAUCAACCCUUAAACUUAAACACCUGACAACUUCUCACCUAGCAAACCAGAACUUCCUUUCCUUUUGACCUCAACGCCUAAAUCUUGGAAGAGAAAAUUUUAAAACUUAAAUUUAAAAGACUUAGUGAGGUUUUAUGAAAACCUUUCGCAAUACCUUUUUACAAAUAUCAUUUCGCAUAAACAACAUAAGAACAUUUCAUUUCGCAUAAACCUUUCUUUAGGCUAAACAAACAUUAGUCAAAUAUUCUUUUUGUCAAUUAUCUUGAACCAUUCUUUACGCUUGGUCUCAUUACCUCGAGUUUGACUACUAUACAAACAGCAUCCAAGAAUAUACAGAUUCGUCCUUGUUGCUUAAGCCGCUAAGCUUUAUAUGCUCCUUUCAACGUAUAAGCCCACUUUUCAUCAUGUGGUUCGUACACCCCAUGAUGGCCUUGACUCUUUAUGUGCACAUAAAAGUUAGCAUCAAAUCAUACUUUAUCAAAUCAAGCUUUCACCAUUAUAAAUCACUCUUGAAACACAUAAACUUUUCAUAUAAAUCAUUUUCAAAACUCUUCUGUCUUUCAAAUCAUUCUUCAAAAUAGUAAAGUGAAAUCACAUAUAACAUUUUAAAACGCCACUCACCAUACUUAAAUAGCCUUGGUUUUGAGAAUUUCUUCCAAUUCUCCAUGGCUGAAAAAUUCAUAUUUAUUCCUUACUUAGCCCCUUGAACAUGAAAAUAUGUUAAAGAUUCUUAAGAAAAAAACCCCAAAAAAUAUCAAGACAAGCUUUAUAACAUAACAAUUUUGCGCAUCUCGCGUAACCUUGUCACUCAGCAAUAACGUAAUCUUAUCUUCACUUUAACGCCUAAUAACUUAAAAUCCAGAACUCCAAUAAAAAUACUUUCUUCUAUUGUUGCAAAAUGUUUUGAUAAUAUUACCUCAACCUUUCAACAAAAGAUUCAAUCUAACCAGUCUAUAACCUCCUUGGUGAAAAGACUAUUCAGUUUUUACCUGAGAAUGACUUUCCUCUCUUCUUUUAACUCAAACUUAACUUUUUCUUACUUAAAUUGAAUCAAUAGCCCCAAUAUAGAAAAAAGACUCAAAAUAGAAACUUUUGAGAAUAAUUUCAUUCAAAACGCUUGAGUGAAUUGUGAGAAAUUCAAUACUGAAAUUGACCUAUUUAUAGAGUUCCUUGCAUGAAUUUACGUUCACCUCAUCGUUGCUUAAAUCCACAUUAAAUCUUAUUAAGAAACUUUCUGCUUAAUUGUACACCUCAAAACACAUGCUAACAAGGCAUUGACACUUCACAGUUAUAACUUUCAAUCUUUAACUCUUUUGAUCAAACUUCCUUCUACAAUGUUUUUCUAAAAUGAGUUAACUUUUAUUUUCUAUAAAUUUCGGAGCAAAAUGCCAAACUAUGUGUUAUGCAGUUUUCUAAGAGUGCAUCUUACUCAGAUUCACUCGCGAACUGAUCUUCUCCCCUUCUUUUAUCCAAAACACCAACUUUCUCAUAUCCAAAAUUCCCAGCCGCCUUCCUCAAUAAACUAGAUUCAAAUUAUGAACUUUCAAUACAAAGUUUAGUACAACUUUUCAAAUGAAUUGUGAGAAACUCAUUUAUAAAGUCAGCUAAAACGUCGAACCUCUACGAUCCUUCCUUCUCGCCAACCCUAAACACUCAAAACACCUAAAGUACUAUUCCUUGAUACUACCUAAAGGAAAGCCGAUCUUUGGCGUUCUGAGGUUGAUCUCAAGCAAUCUGAAGCUGACCUCGGGACAAAGAAGUGAAGAUCUCGGAAGAGUAUUGAUUGGAGAUAGAAGAUCGCGGGCAAAAAUUGAAGAGAGAAAGGAACUCGGGGAAUAUCUGAAGCGAUGAAAGCUAAGUCUUCCUUUUCUCCGUUUUAAUUUUACCUUUUAUUCUAUCAAAAUCUGUCAAAAACUUCGUAUUUAUAUCCGCUAUUAAAUUAAACACUAUUUUCUUCCUUGUCUUACAAACCUAGAGUAAUUACGUUAAUAAUGGAAUGAAUUGCACAUAAAUAAUUUCACAUAAAUUUAUAAAUUGUUAUUCUUAAAAAGAUAAACAAAGCUAUUUGUUAAUUAAAAAUUUGAACCCAAAACUUUAAGGGGGAGACACCUAGAUACCUAGUCUAACAAAUCACUCGAAGUUCAUUUGACAAUAUAUAUGUGAAAGAUUUAUAUUUUAUAAUUACAUUGAUAAAUCGUUAAAGGAGAACUCACUACGUAUCUCAUCCAAAAGAUGAUCUAGUGAAAAGGGAUUAUUCUUUUUAUUAGUUGAAGACACGUCAAUAAAUUUAAUUUGUUACUCAUUUUUCUCUCUCGUUAGUGGCUUUUGAAAUUACUUUGCUCAAGUUGAGAUAUAUUGGUUGACCUCAAAAGGUCAUAAAGUACAACUUUCACAAAUGCCCUUUCACAAUGAUAGGUCCUAUGAUAUAAUAUGAUAGCCUAUGAUAUGGAGAUAUUAAUGAUUCAUAACAAUAUUGGGUUUUUUUUUCAAUAUAGUUUGAUUAUUUACCACUUUAGUGUUGAGGUUUCGCCAUAAAGCUCGUAGUUUUGUGGAUAAACUAUUUAUUGUCAUUAAUAAAACAAGAUGCUGUUUUAUGUUGCAUAACAUUAUUAUCAAAUAAAACUAGAAAAAUAAAUAUAGGUUCUUAUGUGUGUAAUCUUGAACAUAGGUGGAUCAUAUUCUAUUAUAUAUGUAGGUAGGGUUGUGUGCUUUAUUUUUGUGACACUAUGGAUAUGACUAAUGGUUUGAUCCAAACCAUUCUUAGGGAGGAAUAUCUCCCUAAGGAAUAUCUCUCUUUUGUAAAUCUAUGAAUCGAUGAGAUGUAAAUCAAUGAAUGGAUGAGAUUAAUAUUUCUUAGGAUGAUCACAUAUAAAUUGGUUUGAAUCUUAAGUGAGUUAUGGGCUUCUUUUUGUGAGGUUUUAUUUUUUAUUUACACGGAUGAGAGUGACUCGAGUUGUAGAUUGAUAUUCAAACCUUACUAUUUUUGAGACUUUAGAGAGUCCAACGCCAAUAGAGAGUUGAAAACAUAACUUCACAAUAUAUGGAAUUAAAUAGUUUCCGUAUAAAGUCGGAGCUGCUGACUUCGAGGAAUAAAGUCGGAGCCCACUCUCCCAUUGACUUGAAGGGACUUGGUUUAUGGUUAGGGUAUAAAGACAUUGUUCUUUGAAGGAAUCGAUAAUACUGGAGAAAAAGAGUUAAUUACAAGUAUAAAACAAACAUUUAAUAAUCCAGUUGUGUAAUUAUGAAAAACUCUCUAAGGUUCAACUUACUAACUACAGUAAUUAUAUCCAUGAAUAUAACUUGUCCUAAAGUGUCUAAAAUUGAUCAACUAUAGGUAUAUAUAGUACUAUACAGUGGUUUAGUUGUUAUACCUAUAGCAUUCAUUCAUUAUAGGUAUAUAAAUGAAAAUGAAUGUUUAAUUAGUUAAAGAGUUUAGUUAUAAUACAGUGUCUAAAAUUUAACAAUAGGUAUAUAGUGGUUUCCCUAUAGCUAAUGUGAAAGAAUGAUAAUUAGUUAAAGAGUUUAGUUAUAAUUUAAUCUUGGAUCAUCAAUUUGUUGUUCUAACAUGUUGUUCUAUAAGGUCCCUUGCUAACUUUCUUUUGACUAACAAGAAUAAAAUACAUUAAAAGAAAAUUUGGAACUUUCAAAUUUAUAAAUGAAAAAUAUUUAGGGUUUUUUAAAAGAUCUAACAAAAUGCUAAAAUAUUUACCUCCUACAAAACAAUUUAAAAAAUAGAAAAAUCUCACAGGCCAACGAUGAAAAAUACAAAAUGUGUCCCGCGAUUAAUUGACAUCUAACGCGCGUAAUAUAUUUUAGAAAUGAUCGUUUAGAUUUGGUUAUUCUUUCCUACGUAAUCAUUUAGAUUUGUAUCCAAAUCUAAAUAUUUUUUUUUUGAAGAUUCUUUUGAUAGCAAUCAUUUAGAUUUCACUAUUGUUUGGUACACGAUCAUUUAGAUUUAAUCGUUAUAUUUGGUACAUGAUUGUUUGUAUUUACUAAAUAAUCGUUUAGAUUUAAUCAUUUAAAUUUGGAUAGCCAAAUAUCAACGAUUUAUUUUCAAAAUAUUUUGGUACACGAUCAUUUAGAUUUGGUACCAGUGGUUUAGAUUUGGAAUUUUUUUAUAUGAUCGUUUAGAUUUAGGAGCAAAAUAUAAACGAUAUUUUUUUCAAGAUCCUUUAUAUUUGGUAGACGAUCUUGAACAACCAACAGUUCGAAUUUUUUUUUUUUUUUUUUAUAUUUAGUACAUGAUUUUGAACCAAAUAACAACUUUGAAAAAAAAAUGGCAGAAGAAAAGAGGAAAGACGAUGGAGAGAAAAGAAAAAAUCGCAAAAGAGACGAGAAGCAAGACGAUGAAAAGAAAUGGUAAAUUUGAAAUUUUUUUAAAAAAUUGUUAGCUUAAUAGACUUUUUCAUUUUGUUACAUGAGCCGUAAAUAUAUUGAUUGUUUGUUAUACUUCAGAAAAUUAACCCAAUAUUUAUUAUAUAGGUUAAUUUUUAUAAAUAUACUUAAAAUAUUUAUGGCCCGUGUAACAAAAUGAAAAUGCUCGUUAGGCUGGCCAUUUUUUAAAAUAUAUUUCAUAUUUGAUCUUCAUUUUCAUCGUCUUUCUUCCCUUCUUCUGUCAUUUUUGUUUUAUUUUAUUUUUGAAUUGCUAUUUGGUUGAAGAUCGUGUACCAAAUAUGAAACAUCUACUUUUUUCAAACGGUUGGUUGUUCAAGAUUGUUUACAAAAUAUAAAAGAUCUUGGAAAAGAAAAACACUAUUUAGAUUUGUCUCCCAAAUCUAAAUGAUCGUAUAUAAAAAAAUAGUCAAAUCUAAACGAUCGUGUACCAAAUAAUUUUAAAAGAAUUCGUUUAGAUUUGAGUAGCCAAAUUUAAACUAUAUCAAAUGUAAAUGAUUGUGUACAAAAUAUAAAUGAUCCUGUACCAAAUCUAAUCUAUCAUGUACCAAAAAAUCUUUAAGAAAAAACGGUGAGAUUUGGCUGCCCAAAUUUAAACGAUCAAAUCUAAACGAUCGUAUACCAAAUAUAAAUGAUCUUGUACACCAAAUCUAAACUAUCCUGUGCCAAAAAAUCUUAAAAAUAAAACGGUGAGAUUUGGCUGCCCAAAUUUAAACGAUCAAAUCUAAACGAUCGUAUAUCAAAUAUAAAUGAUCUUGUACCAAAUAUAAAUGAUAGUGUACCAAAAAAUAUUAAAAAAUCGUUUAUAUUUGGUUGCCCAAAUUUAAAUGAUCGUAUAGCAAAAAAUAACCUAAUCUAAAUGAUCGUGUAAAAAAUAAUAGCCAAAUCUAAAUGAUCAUGUUCUAAAGAAUCUUGAAAAAUCGUUUAGAUUGAGGUAGCAAAAUCUAAACAAUCAAAUAAACUCUCAAAUCUAAACAAUCAAAUAAACUCUCAAAUCUAAACAAUCGUGUAGGAAAUGAUAGCCAAAUCUAAACAAUUAUUUUUUAAAUAUAUUACGCACGCUAGAAGCCAAUUAAUCACAUGAUAUUUUUUGGAUUUUUUUUUGUUUUUCAAUUGUUAUAUAGAAGGUAAGUAUUUUAGGGUUUUAUUAUAUGUUUUAAAGGAGCCAUAUGAUAUAUGUGAUACAAUUGGUAAAUGUUUUAUUAAAUCUUAAGCGUUUAUCAUCUUUUUACCUCAUCCAGUACCCUUUUCUCUCGAUGAAUUUUUAAUCAACUUCUAACUGAAAACCAUUAAGUAUGUUUUUGUUCUAUGGAUCGAAGUAUUUUACUUUUAACUCAUGUUAUUGAGAAGAUGAGAGGUUGACAUUCAUUGUUUUAUACAAUAUUAUUAAGAUUUUAUUGUAAAUAUGCAUGAAAGUUAAAACCUAACUUUUCCAAAACUAUAAGUUUUAUUUGAGAGGGAGAGAGCGCAAUAGAAGAAUGUAGAAAGUGUUCUAUGGUUGACAUAUAAUCGUGGGUGUAAAUUAUUGAUGAUGUUGGAUUUUUCACCAAACCAGACAGGCUUAAGUGCGCAGACCAUACAUUUCAAAAAAGUAUUAGUAGCUUUUAUUAUAUCAUCAAAUUCAAGUUGAUAGAAAUUAUAGUAACCUUUUUGUCGUGGUUUUAAUUUGUAUUAAAUAACAUAGGCUCUAGAUCAAUAUAAUGAAACCAUUCACAUAUUUAUGUGAGCUUAUAGAUUACUCUUACCGAGAUCGUAUUAAUAUAUAUUUUUAAUAUAAGAAUAGUGCAAGAAUUGUUAACAAUACAAAACUUUAAACAGCUAAAAUUAUAUGCUUUCAUUGAUAACCAACCAAGACAUGUGGCAUAAGCUUCUCAAAAUAAUAAAAUAAAAGAAAUAAAAUUAUAAAUUCUUUGAGAAGACAACAGUUUCUAUGAAGAUUCUCCUUGAGAUCACCAUUGUGCAUGCAUUCCAUUUCACUUAAGGGAGUUUAACGUCGUUGGUUUAAGAGAGGAACAUAAAUGAAUCGAAAUCGUAUUUGAAUGAGAGGGAUCGCGAGAAUAUGAAAGUAAGGUUAAGAAAGACUUAAAAGAAUUAAAAGUUAAUACCUAUACGAAUGAGGUGCACCUUCCUUUUCGGUGGCUCAAUCGUAGGAACUCUAACUAAAGUUUAGCAUGCUUAGCUCAAAACAAUUUUAUGUUGGGUGACCUUUUGGAAAUUUUUUUAUGAUGCAUAUGAGUGAGAACAAAGCAUGCUGAAGUGACUCGUAUUGGUUUGAGGGAAGAACUUUCACUCUAAUAAGCCUUUAAGACAAGAAUAAAUGAUGUUGUCAGGUUGUAAGAGAUGCAAAGGAAUGUCAUAGAUCUAAAUUCUGAAAUUUUGGUAUGAAAUCUGAGCCUAGGACGUUACAGGGUAUUUGUACAAAUUUGCACCAAUAAGUAGCUCUCACAGCCAAUGAGUUAUCAAACAAUAAGAUGCAUUAAAUAUGUACAUAGUAUCAAUUCUUUGAAUCAAUAUGUAACAAAUUUUAAUAGUCAAAAGAAUACUUGACAUGUCAUGCAUAUUUCUAAGAUCAUGAUAUAUGAUACCACAGAAAAUAUGCUAUCAAAAUUUGAUUUAAUUCUGAAUCGUUGUUCUAUGUUUUAUGUUUUAAUUUGGCUAUUUUGUAGGUUUGGAGAAAAUCUACUGUAGAGUUUUGUGUUGAUGACAAGUUGGAGCAUAAUUGGGCAAAACCAAAGUCAAUAUGCACAACUAGGUCAAGGAGUGAAGAAAAGGCCAAACUUAACCUUUGUCUUACUUUGUCGCAACGUUGUAAGGCAAUAGGCGUACGAUCCUAAAAAAGCAUAUAGUGUUGCAACGUUGCCUUAGAGCGUUGCGAUACUCCGAGGUUUAUCUUCGUAAGAUUUUUUGGGAGCAUCAGGAAAUGUUACAAUUUUAUUCAUAGUUGUUUUUCUCACUAUGUUAAAGGGAUCACCAAUUUCAGCAGCAUCUAGUCUGAUUUCUCUCUAUUUUCUAAUAGCUUUCGAUUGUGGUUUAUGCACUAUAACGUAUUACUCAUCAUCAUCUGAUAUGUGGAGGAAUAGCUAAAGUAUUCUUUCUAGGGUAUUUGUGAUGAUUUGAUUAAAUAUAUCAUGUUUUACGAAAUUUAAUUUAGUUUUGAGUGAUUUUAAUUCAUAUUGGUCACACGCUCGUGGACCAUGUGGACCAUGUGAUGUUUGAUUUCAAUCCAUGUGCCAUUUACUUGGAAGAUGUAUAUGAAUUGCAUGAUGAGAUGAGUUAGAUUAGCUUGCUAGCCAAGUUAAGUUGCAUAGUUCUAAUCAAUAUAGAAUUAAAUCUUUAGAGUAAUUAGCUAAAUGUAUAGAAGUUAAUUAUUCACUGCCCUAUAUUUCUCUACAUCUUACUGCAACUAGGUUGAUUCAAAUUGUCAUCCCUUUUCAUCAUUUAGAAUUAGACUAGUUUGAUACUUAAGAAAAUUUAAUUAGCUUAUCUAUUUAAGUUGAUUAAGAUGUAAGCAUUUGAUUUCAUUAGUCAAAAAGUCCUAAUGAGCGAAGGUCUUUAGUAGAAUGGAUUCCGUUAACGUAAGCUAAACUUUCUAUCAAUAAUUACUUCUCUAAUUAAUCUCUGUGUUUUAUGCAAUUUACUUUAUUUGCAAUUGAAGCCAUCUCAAACCACUCAACCCUCCCUCUCGACCAUCGAUGAACAUUGAUUACCUUAGGUUGGAAAUUAUUUUUCUUAAGAAACUAACAUGCUCUCUAAAUUCGAUUCGGUCUUACCACUAAGACUAAAUCUUGUGAAAAGUUCAAUUAAUCAUUUAUUCUAAAUUUAAGCCAUAAAAUUUGCUCGAUAAAGAAACCCUCAAACAAAUGUUAGAGUUUAUAUCAAUUGACGUACACCAAUGCAUCCACAAAAUUGCAAUCCAACCACUCCCAACAACUAAUAAGAUAAUACAUAGCCCACACUGAUGCAAUAAUGACAUAGGUUGCAUCAAGACACAUAAUGAAAUAAUAGUCUAUGUUAAUAGUCAUCAACCACUAUCUACCCGACAUCUACCAACUGAAAUAUCAUUGACAGACCUCAAUGCUCAAUAAACUCACAACUAUAUCCACCACACAACUUUGACUAUAUCAGGUUGUUCAUGCUUGAUAUAGAUUUCGUAAAUGACAUCCAUACACUAGACGAGAAACAUCAACAAACAUUAAAUUUUAGCAAUAUGUACCGAACCAAGGUGAUAUCAAACCCCAUUCAUAUGCAACUCAUUAUAUGUGCACAAUCAAUUUUAACAUACUAACUCUUACUAGAUCAUACUUUAAUACAUUACCCUACUACGACAAGCAUCAAUUAUAAGACAUGAUCAUAUUCAUACUUAGCUUCCUUCGAUAUAUUCCAAACAAUAUCAUAAUCAUAAGUGCUUCAAAUAUUAUGAUCUAAAACACAUAAUUGAUAACGUUUGAAAUACGCUAUCUAUUUCUACUUAAUUCAAGCUUGUGCUGUGAUUUUAUGUUCUUGACUAGCUAUUUUAUAGGUUUUUAGUAAUUCAAAGGUAGAAAUCAAUGUUGAUGUCGAUUUGGAACUAAUUCGGACAAAUAUGGAGUCAAGUUGUGUCAAUCGAGGCAAGCUGGUGAUCAAAAAAAGAUUAUUAGUGGAAAGGCCUCAAACUUCGUCUGCGCGUCUACGUCCUUCAAUGUCGCAACUUUGCCCCGAACGCCUCAGACUACGACUUAGUUAUAGAAGUAUAUUUUUAUUGUCAGUUUAGACCUAGGCCUGAUUGUAGCCAUUUCUCUUCAGUUUCCUCUCCGUUAUCUGAUUGCUUUUUGUUGGUUUAUGUUUUUGAACAAUUCCUCAUCAUCCAACACGUGGAUGAAAGGCUAAGAUUCUUAUUCUAGCUUGGAUUUUUAUAAAUCUCCCAUUGUUCCUUUGAAUUUACAAAAGUUUGAACUUGUUUACUGCAACUUUUUUGGUUUCCAUUAUAUAUUUGAAUGAUUGUUUGUUCAUGGAGAAUGUAUAACUUGUGAUUUCAAUUAUUAAAUCUUUGACUCAUGACAAUUUGGAUAAACUUUGCUUAUAAGCAAUAAUUUAGGUUAGCUUGGUAUUCUAUUUUGAUUACCAUUUUCCUAAUCAACCUAGAAUUAAACCUAGCUAAUGAAAUGUCAAUUAGACGCAUGGAAAUUAGGCAUUCCACCUAAGGAUCUCUUGAAGUUAAUGCUAUUGGGAAAUUCAGUUGUGCAUAGUACUUAAUCGUAUUAGAACAAUUAAACGUGUAACGACCCAACAUUUUAAACUAAGCUGAGGUCAUUACUUUAAAGUUCAAUCUAAAAUAAAUAGCUAAGACACAAAAGAUUAUACAAAAAAAAAUUGUUUAAAAAAUAAACAUCAAAGAAAAGUUUAGUUCGGGCCCUAUUUCAAUCAAUAUAAAAGUACAUAGAUAUUUGUGUUUUAAGACAUAACGAAACAUACCGUCAUUCUAAACAUGAAACUCGCUCAUUUCAAUCAUCAAAACUUAAAAACAAUAAAAGCAUUUAAAAGAUUCAAUAAGGCGUUCACAAGUACUUCUUGUCCCUCGUCAGGCUACCGUCUCUCGUAUUACCAUUGCUUGAAAAAGCUAAAGAUAGGGUGGGUAUAAAAAUAUACCUAGUAAGAGACCCAUUAUUGGUUUCGUUAGAGGUAAAAACUAUUAACUUUCUAUUAGGAGGUAUCAUGCAUCAUAACAGUCUUGUGAUCCCAAAGCAUACACGUCAAUUAGUCUAGUGAUCUCAUAGGAUGCACAUAAUUAGUUUAGUGAUAAAAUAGAAUGCACAUAAUCAGUCUAGUGAUCCCGAAGGGUGCACAAUAUGUGGUGAUCCCGUAGAACACCAUGUCUGCAAGGUACACUACCCCAUAGCUAAAGGUAACUGUUUCCCCCUAGUCUAGUUAAGUUCAAUCUAGUCUGAACAAUCCAAGACAAUCACAUCAAAACAUCAUUAAAACUAUCAACAAUACUUUAGUUCUCAACACAUAACAAGUCAAAAUAAGUGUGUUAAUACAUAUCUUUGUUCAGACAUCAGUGUAAGCAAUCAAUACAUUUUAAAGUAUUGAUCAUAAUAGUAAGACCCUCUUAGUAGAUUCCAACUUCAAUAUAAGGUCCAGUAGUAGAAAUCUCUUACCUCAACUAUAGCUAAGUUCCUUAGUCGAACUAAAGUCCAAAUAAACCAACCUAAACAGAAACGGAAGAUCAAUAACUUUUGCAAAUAAAUUCAUUAAUUCACCCAAAAGUGACUUCCACCAACUUACCUAAACAAAUGGAGAUUUGAACUCCAAUCCAACUUGUAAUGAACUCCAAGGACUUACUUCUCCAUUGGCACCAUCAAAUUAGUAUAAAAAAUUAUAAAUCAACUUGUCCUGACUUCAAAGACUUACUUCUCCAAUGACACCAUCAAAUAUAAAAUAUUCUAAAUUUUUAUUCCAAUUUAAUUGAAAUUUAGAUCCUUUAAUAACCCAUGUUAAAACUCAUAAAAAACUCACCAAAGAGUUGGCUCCAAAAGCAAAUGGUUUGAAAAAGCAGUGGCUCAGCCUAGCUAGGAGUUCGGUUAGGUGAGGGUAGUCAGCUCAUGCGGCUGAGAGAGGGAAAGAAUCUAGCUCGCAAAUGAAAACAAUUUGACUCAAACUAAGAUGGAAUGGAAAGGGUUCACAAACAAAGACAAAUCGACUUUGAUCUUCGAACAGUGACUAUGCACAUAUGAAGGCUUCGUUGACGGAAGGAGAUUGACGUCCUCAUGCGACAGUGUGGAGUGCGAUGGAGAAGACGCUCAAAUGUUCCGGCUAUGCGUCAUUCAACUCAAGUCAAUAACGUAAUGACUGGAAACAACGAUCAUCGAUUUCAACAUACGACAGAGAGUGACGAAUGGUGAGGACUGAUUUUGUCUGAGUGGAUUACGCGUGAACAUCGAACGACGAUGGUGACGAGGGUACAACGUGAGGAAAAAGAAUGGAAAAGGAGAAAGGGUUUGCACUCAAAUAUAUGUCCUUUUUCUAUUAUGAAGAAGAAGAAGAAGAAGACUCGUGAAGGACUAACUUACCAAUAUUAGUCUAUAUCCAUGGACACAAAAGUAUAUCUAUAGUGAGAAGAGUUCAAUGUUCAGUAUUUAGUGGAGUGUACACACAAUUAACAAAUAUUGAUUAAUGUGGUUAAUGAGUUUAGCAAAUUAAUCUCAUAUUGUUGUAGCUUUUGAUUUGUAGGUCCAUUAGGACCCCUUCCUAGCUCGUAAAAGAUAAUGAGAUUGCGUAGCCAAUUAAUCUCAUACAGUUAACGACUUGAAUGGGCUAUUCCUUGCGUAAAACUUCAAAAUAUUUACAACUUUGCCCCUACAAUUUCAAAAUGCUCUAUCUUUCUUGCUCAAGCUUUUUUUUUGUUGAUUGUUGUUGUCGUAGUUACGUAACAGAGUCUAGCUUAUUAAUUUGAAUAGAAAUGCGAAAAUAACGAGUAUAUGCAUGUUGUGAAACACAAAAUAGACAAAUAACUAUAGGUCAAAUAUUGCCCCAUAAUGUACUAAGGAAGGCAAAAAGUUACAAAGAGUAAAAGAUUUGUUAGGGAAAAUAUGAAAAAAGGGAAAAAUUGUUAAACUUGGGAAUAAGUUGUCACACCCCAAGUCGUACUACAACGAUAAUGUCGAAGUAGUACGAAUAGAAUGCAAGUUUGUUUUAACCUUGAAAUUUUUUUAUCGCAAAAUCUUAUUCUCAACACAUUUUAUACUAUCAACAAAACUCAAAAUGCAACGGUGGUCAACCUAAAUGCCAAGUAUAAUAACUACCUACCAAAACGUAUACUUUAUUAAUAACAAGUGUUUGAUAGAUAAUUACAACAAUUUGGCCAUAUAACCAAUGCUUAACUAUUUCCAAAGCGUCUGGAAUCAUCUCGCUGCAAAUCCUUCAACCAUUCUUCUCUACUUGGCCUAAACGCCCGAUCCUGAAAGAUGAGAUUUUUAAAACGUAAGUCUAAAAGACUUAGUGAGGUUUUAUUAAAUACUUUUUCAUAAACACCAUUUUGCAUAAAUAACAUCAAAUCAUUUCAUCUCGCAUAAACCUUUCUUUAUGCUUAAUAAACACAUUUAUAACAUAACAAUUUUACAUAAACACACAAUUAUUUCUUUCGCCAAGGAUCCCGAAUCGUUCUCUACGCUUGGUCUCAUUAUCUUGCAUUUGACUACUGUAUCAACAACAUCUAAGAACAUACAGAUUUGUUCUUGUUGCUCAAGUCGCUAAGCUUUAUAUGUUCCUUUCAAUGCAUAAGCCAGUUUCUUAUCACCAUAUAGUCCAUACUCAAUGGUCUUGACUCUUUAUUGUCACAAAAAAGUUAACAUCAUCUCAAGAAAUAAACUAAUUGUUUGAAAAUUAUUUUAUAGCACUGAAAUCGUAAUCAUUAAAUCAAGCUUUAAUAUUAUAAAUCGUGCUUGAACACAUAGAAAUUUUUCAUAGAAAUCUCUUUUUGAAACACUUUCUAAUUUGAAAUCAUCUUUCAAAAUAGUAAAGUAGAAUCACAAAACUUUUCAGAAGAAAACCACGCACUACACUUUAACAAAAAUCCUUAUCUUCCUUCACUUUUCGUGGAGCCUUCUCGCGGAACAAAUUGUCAUACUUAACACUUUGUUUUUCUUCUUCUUGUCAAAGCAAAACAUCAGCAUUUUAACUUUUUGUUUUUUUUUUAAUAAAAUCUUUUGUGCUUACUUAAUGACCAAGUCCUUUAUUCUCGCCUAACCAGAUUUGUGUUUACUUAAAAUCUUACACGUGAACCCCUGUCAAAUCAGAUUUGACAUUUUCUUUGUCAGACUUCACUUCUCGGCUAACCCCAUACUCCAAAUAACUUUAACCACAUAACACUUCUCGCGAAUAAGCUUAUCACUUGGUUAUAUUUUUACUACAAGAAACCUUCCUCGUGAACUUUAAACUUACCGCGAACUUAAAAUUCAAACCUUCCUUGUAGACUUCUUCAUCACGAAACCCUUAUCGCGAAGACUACCCAAACGCCUAGUUGUUUUAGUCAAAACUUCACAACUUAAGUCUUUUGAGAGCGUUUAGACUUAUAGAUUCUACUGUAAACCCUUCUUUUCACAAAACUUCCUCGUGAAUUAACUUAUUAAUCGUGAGCUUAUAUUUAACCAUAAAAGAUUUUAUUGCUUAAUCCUUGCCGCAAAUUUAUUCAAACACCAAUUUCUUUAAUACUUAGCCAAAUUUUACUUCUUAUACUCAAAUAACAAAAAACGGGUCUUACAUAAGUAUUUUUUAUUAGAAUUUCUUUUAAUGCCACAAAAAGUUAUAUCGUUAAUUAACGACGCAAAAAUUGUCAAGAAAAAUUUCACGUUUUCUUUUAAUUUUUAAGGACAUAUUUUACUCCAUCUCACUCCUUUUCCUUGAUUUGAAGUGUCAUUAAAACCCAAACUUCUUGUAGAGCCCCAAUUUGGUAAAAAUCUCAUUUUUGCUUAUUUUUGCUCUAUCUCCAAAUUUGUCAUUUCUAUAUAUAUCUCUUUAUCAUAAUCGAUUCAAUAAAUUAGGCCUAUAUCACACAACUUUUCGUUUUGCAAAAAUGCUUAACGCAGUUUUGAAAAUAGAAAAUUAUAAAAAACUAUGACUACCUUAUGGUUUACAGAUAUACUUGAUUAGUUUGACACACUUGAUGUACAAUUGAUGUGACGCCCCGUCCCACCUUGCACACAUCCUUAUGUCGCUAUGCGGCACAUAAUGUGACUUGAGUAACCCUAGCACUCUAAAUGAAUCACCAAAACGCUCACUUAAGUUCUCACACUUAAACUUUAACUUUAACAAGUAGCAAAAAAAUAUAUUAAAUUUUAAGUAUAACUAAUAAAGAGUCUAAUUAUUAUUAUUAUUUGAACUAAGCGUUCUACUAUUACACUUUCUUUACUUCCUUAGUACAAAAGUUAAAAUAAUUAAACAUAGACUUAAACACCUUGUCUAGCUCCCUCAAAAUUUAAAUUAGCUCUUUUAAUAUAAGCUAAGACUUGCAUACACAAAACGGUUUCCUAUUUACAAGGAUUUAUAAGGUAAAACAACUUAGAUCACUUGCUUAGCUUUCACGUGUAGCAACUCUUCUUAUCUUUCUUUAUUUAGCUUAAACGCCUGGUUACCUAGGGAGGCAAGCUUAAAACGUAAGUCAAAGACUUAGUAAGUGAUACUUUUAGAAAAUCUUUUUGGGCAUACAUUAAGAUCAUUUUCAUAAGAAUGGAUUCAACACCUUAUUCAUAAAACAUUAAACACACAUUAGUCUCUUAUAUUCCUUUCUUCCAAGAGCAUGAACCAUUUCCAUGCAUAGACUACAACAUCCCUAAGAGAAUAUAUAUCCUGGUUCAUUUCUUAUUGCUCAGGCCACUAAGCUCAAUAUGCUCCUUUUACGCAUUGACCACCUUAACUCCACAAUGCAAUCAUUUUCUACAUGGCUAGCUACCUUUGCUCCUUAUAUGCACAUAAUAGUUAGCUCUUUGAUAGAAAUAAGACUAAUGACAUACACAUAACAUAGCAUACAUACAAUACACAUAUAACUUUACUUUUAUGAUUAUUUAGGAGACCUCGAAUAAAUUAUUUGAAACUACGCUAGAUAAAUGCUUCCCCUAUUUUUAUUUUCAUGAUUUUUGAACGUUUGGAACUCUUGAGUAGAUAGUAUUUGAAUUUUGAAUACUUCUUUUCUUUUAUGAUUUAUUUAGGAAACCUCGAGUAAAUUAUUUUUAAUUAUUUAUUUCAACAUUGUAUUUCCACUUGAGGUUGUCUCUGUAUUUCUUAAAUAAAUGAUCCCAAAGUUUGCAUAAUCUUUGUCUUGAAAUUUUAUUUUCACUCGAAUAAAGAUUUCAGCUUAAGUUGAAAAGUUCAAUGGUUACAUUUGAGCCUAAGUUGAAGUUGGAUCAUUACACUUCAUUUUACUAGUGAUUUUUAUUGGAUUGCACAUGUUUGUUUCUUAACCAAAUGCUUUGUUUUUUUUAAAAAAAAAAAAAAUCUAAAUCCAAUUUUUGGGUACAAUUUUUUAAAAAAAGAUUCCACCAUAACUUCUAAAUUUAUUAUAGGUAAAAAUAAUUGGUUACACAUUUUAGUCAGUAUCCUGUUUUUCAUAAUCUACCUAAUACAAUUUCCAAACCAAAAUUAUGAAAUACAAACCUAGACAUUAUCAAAUGAGUUGAGAGAAGAAAUGAAAACGACCUUUACAAAACUCCAAUAUAAUCAAACAGUGCAUGGGAAUUAUGAAUAUUUUUAUUUCCUUUAAACAAAUUUUACUUUAGUCUCACAGACAAGUUAGAAAAAUAACCAAACAUAUAAUCUUACAAAACUCAAAUAUUUAUCAUUUACUAAUCAAACAAGAAGUUCUUACUCCAUCAUAUAUUACAAAAACAGAACGGAAAGAUGUAAAGUACUAUAACUAGCCGGCGAAUGAUUACAAACCGAAGUCUUAGUUAUUUAUUUAGAUACACAAAAACAUUUAGCCGGCUAACUUUGAUUGUGUAUAUCUACAUUAGUCCGUACUUUGUUUUGCGUUACUCCAACAAUCCACAUCUCUUCUAAGACAUCCAUGGUGAUUGUAUUCACCACUAUCGUUAGGUCGCCUAGUUUUUGCCUUCUCAUUCUCGUUGAUCUCCCGCUCUCUCUGCUUGUUUAUAUCAAUCAGUCGUCGGGGACUCCUAAGAGUUGUCCCUUCAAUUAGCAUGACCGAGGUGAUCAACACCAACAUGAGGAUUGCAGCAAGUGUUAGUCUUCUCAUUUUUCACACAAACCUCUGUUAACUAUAAUGAGGAGAGGAGGGAAGAAAAGGGCUGAUUAGAUUUUUGGAAUGAAAAUCAAAAGAGGAGAAAGAAAACGCUAAGUUUUGGAAGUUUCUUUUCUGUUGUUAUUGGGACUUGUAAUUGAAGUAUUUAGUGGAAAUGAGGGUUAGGUUGUUGAAUUGUGAGAUCUAUUAGGUGAUGGACUGUUUAUAUAGCACAUAAAAGACCAUUAAUAAUUUCGGUUUGUUUGUUCACCAUCAAAUGAGACAAAAAUUAAGUGGGUUGUGCACAAAUUUUUAAAGAAAUAUUAUAAAAUUAAUUAGAAUGAUGAAUUUGGAGAAUAAUUUUGGCCUAUAUAUAAACAGGAAAACUCCACCAUGUUAGCUUAAAUAGAAGCCUAAGCUCUAAAGUUGAGCAUAAUAACAUCUUUGCUCCUCAAUGUUCAACACACAAGUGUUUUCAUUGUGGAUUGGAUUAUGGUACGACAUUUGGAAAAUCUUGGUAGGGCUGAAAAAAAAAAAAAAGUCUAACCAUAAACACUACCAUAAAGAAUGUUCACCCAAUUAGGGUGUAUAUCUUUUUAAAAAGUGAAAAGUACUUUUUACUAAUGUUUCUAGGGUUUCAAACUAUUGUAAGAACGACAAUUGGAAUUUAGGAUGUGGAUAAUAAUUGAGGACGAUAAACAUUUGUUUGAAUCUACACCUACGCAAUUCAAGAUAAUGUUGUACUUGCAAUCAAAGCAUGUUACUAUAAUAACGUUGGUGAUAAGAUUUAGAACAUACGUGACCUCUUGCUUUUAUUGAUUUAAUGAUCUAGACCAUUGUGAUAUCCCGAUCAAGUUCAAAACUACACAAUAAUAGUGCAUGCGACAAGAUGGGAGCUAGCAAACUAGAAGUAUUACGAAGCAAUUGUGUAAGGCACAUUUUCAAUAUGCAUUAAGAAAAGAGUUACACGAUGAGGUGGAAGGCAAUGAGAGCUUCCGUCACUGUGAAGUAGUUGACUUCAUCCUUGUGUAAACACUACUACAAAACUGGCUUUACUUGAGUAAUCUAGUGUAAAAAAUAAGAGAAGUAUACUUGACAAUUUUUAAGCGUCAAUAAACUAAGUUUACUUGACAGGUAAAAAACGUCAAGAAUAUGAGAUUACUUGACGCUUUUUACAUGUCAAGUAAUCCAGUGUCAAGAAUAAGAUGGGUUUUGUUUGACAGUUUUUAAGCGUUAAGUAAAAUUAUACUUGACAAUUUAUAAACGUCAAGUAUAUAAGAUUUGUUGACAUUUUCUACAUAUCAAGAAUUUGCUGACUCUUGACAUGUUUUGCAUGUCAAGUGUUUUUUUUAAUUAUAUAUUUUAAAAUAUCCUUAUAAUUUAUCGUGCACCUGUUUUGAAGUUCAACAAUGCCAAACGUAUAUAAGUAAAGCAAGAGAGUAUACGUACAAAUGUGUUAAAGUACACAUUAAUUGAACAAUUGAAUCAACUAAAUUUUUUCAUCAAAAAACUAAUAAUAUUUUAACAUAUUAUAUAUAUAUAUAUAUAUAUAUAUAUAUAUAUAUAUAUAUAUAUAUAUAUAUAUAUAUCAAUGAACCACAAAUACAUACAUAUAGUUAACCUAUACUUCUAACAAUAGUCUAAACUUUCCAUCUAUGUGUAGCCUAGCUAUAGGUGUAUCAACUAAACUAAUUCACCUAGCUAUAUCAAGUAUAUCAACAAAAUAUCACAUCUAUAUCCAGUAUUAAUAAAACUUGUCUAUCUAACCCAAAAUAUAAUCAUCAUAAAUCAAAUGUGGCCACCCAAAAAAUCAGUAAGCUCCAUGCGCACUUCAUCCAACUCGAGUUGAUUAUGUGGGCUCCUUGUAUCAAUCUGAUAUGAAACCCAAAAUAUUAAAGUUAAUACUUUGAUUACUUGAAUUGUAGAAAAUAAUUCAAAUAAUCAUUUAAACACAACAUAUUGAAUCUGUGACUACUUUGCUCCCAUUAGUGAUUAUAUCUUUCAUGUAACUCAUCACAUAGUAUCCACAUUCCCACUCCAACUUGCAAAGGACACUGUAAAUACAUAAAUUAUCAAAGUAUAUAUUUAAUGGUGCAAAUAGCUCAUAUACCAUAUACUUUUAAUUAACGAAUAAAUAUGUUUAAACUUUACCUUCAUUGUUUUCCAUAUUAACUAUUUUUUAUUUGUUUGAGUAUUUUUCAAAGAGCGAAAGAAAAUAAUAGCCCUAUUUGCAAGAAAAAACUACACUUUAGCCAUGAAGUGAACUUUAUGAUGGUAAACAUGAUAUAUUAAAAAAAAUUACUUAUAUGUCACUUAUGUAUCUAAUAUCUACUAUAGAUGUUGUUCGAAGUGAGUCAAUAUAAUAAAUUGUCUCAUCAUAUGCGUUAACAGCCAAAAGUGCUCAAUGACCACUACAUAGAAAGAAUAUAAGUAGAUUGCCUUAAUAUAAACCAAAACAGGUUUCUCUAUGCUAAAUCAAAAGUAAACUACAACAAUGCAAAGUAACAUAUCACCUAUAGCUUAUUUUAUUUCCUAAAGAAACAUAAUAUGAUCAAAGCUAAACGGAGAGCACAUUAAAGUAUGAGCUAUGUGUUUCAAUAUCAAUGGAAGAAGAAGCAAUACAAUUUAAUUCAAAGAAACAUAAUAUGAUCUAAGAAAUCUUAAGAUUCAACUCAAAUAAACAAAUUGUCUUAAAAUAACCCAAAAGAAGUUUCUAGAAACCAAAAGUAGACUACAACAAUAAAAGUGGAUCCCCUCCCCCUCCCCUAUAUUGCCUUUAACAUAAUCUAAAAUUCUAAACUUCAAUUCAAAGUAACAUAUCACCUAUAACUUAUUCUAUUUCUUAAAGAAACAUAAUAUGAACAAACCUAAAUGGAGAGUACAUUAAAGUAUGAGCUAUGUGUUUCAAUAUCAACCGAAGAAGAAGCAAUAUGUGUGAGUAGAGUCCAUUCACGCACCUGUUUUCAAUCAUUGAACUUAUCAACUUCCAUCUCCAAUAAGCUUCAUGCAAGCUGAUCGAUGAUGUCUUGUGUGGCGUCCAAGUGCUUAUUGAGUCAGUAAGUUUGCCAAAUACCAGGUAAAACUGCCAUGCUAGAAGCACCAACCUGUAAAGAAGUUUUUUAGGAGGAAUAAUCUAAAAGGGAUAGUAAUAUUCACUCUUUAUUUAUUAAUUCAAUACUAACCUUGUCAAAUUAAAUCCUUAAACUAAAAAACUUGAGAAAUUAAUAUCUAUUAAAAACAAAAUAAAAUUUUCCUGUGAAAUACUAAUAAACUAUUGAAAAUUCUACGAACAAAACAUAUAAUAUCAAGCCCCCAAAAAUCCUAAAUUUAUUAAAAAGAUAUAUAGAACCUAACCACAAAUUUGAAACGGGUGGAGGAGGCCGAAAUACCACAAUAGGCCAUUAAUCCACCACAAAUACAUCCAAGGAGUAACCAUUAAUUGUUGACAAUAAAUGUGUUUCUCGAUUGUUUAAGUCCUAUGUCAAAAAUCAAAGUAAAAGGCUAGGAAAAAAAGUGAUAAGGCAUUAGAAAAGCCAGUGUGAAUUUUUUUAUCAAUGAAAUAUCUCUAAUCUACGAAAACAAAGACUCAAUGUGAAUUCUCCCAUAAUGAUACUUUCAUAAUAAUGUUCAACUGAUAUGAACGAAUGAAAAAGAAAUAGUUGAAUUAUUCUCAAGCCUCACAGUCAAUUACAUUUACUCGAGUUCUACAAACCAAUGAUUAAGAAAUCAAUUACCACAAAUCAACCAUACAAGGAAAGAAACCUAAUGGGUUGGAGAGAGGUUAGCAUGGAGGGAGACACAAUUAAGCUAAUAAUGAAAAUGCAAUAGGUCCAAUAAUUAUCUUUUGUGUUACAAUGGAAGCCUUUAUUCGACUGCUUCAUUAUACGAACCACCUAAAAUAACACUAUAAAAAAAAACGUGAUCAUCAUUGCCAUAUGACUUAGUACUUAUGUGCUACAAAUCAACAAGAAAAGUGUCAAGCAAUAGAAACUCUGCUGCAUAAAAACAAAGUUUAUAUAAACAAGAUAGAACUCCAUUUAGUACAAUUGAAUAAUAUUUUGAUAAGAGAGAUGUCGUAGAGUUACAGAGUUCUAAACAAUCAUUAUGAAAUGUUGCACAACAACUGUGUAUCUAACUACAAUGAGACAUAUGAAGAAGCAAAAUACAAAGACUUUCCAUGAACAUUUUAAACCAUAAACUAUUAAAAUCACAACCAUCCUCAACAUCCUCAUAAAAUUCUCUAGCUCCUCCCAAGCCAAAUGGCUUCACAUAAUGCAAAUAUAUUUUCUUCUUUUUUCUAAAAUAGAAACAAACCUCUUUGUUAACGAUAAUAAAUGAAACUAAAGUUCAAAGUACAAAAGUAUUACACUAAGAAUUAAAGAAACUAAGAGAAAAUAUAGACUAAAACUAAAAAGAAUACUAAAACUAAAACAUAAAUAUUAACGCAACCUAAAAACGUUGCAAACUAGUUCUAGCAUCUCAAAUCUUACCGCGUUAAGAAGAUCGACGCAAGCGCGAAGGCCUCUAUUGUUGGAGGCGUUGACGAGCCCACUCUAAAUUUACUCUAAAUCUCACAAACUUUUAAGAGAAGAAAUUUGUUCUCUUAGAAAACUCAAUAACACACAAGAGAAGAAUGUUGUUCUCUUGAAACUCACUUACUUUCUAAAACUCAAUUUUCUUCUAUUGAUUUGAUUCUUUUUAUCUUGUAUACAAAUGAAGGAAAUGAUCUCUAUAUAUAGUAUUCAAGAGACACUUCCUAAAAGACACAAAAUAAAUGAAGUACAUGAAUACAUACCAUUCAUGUACUUGAAUAAUUACAUGUAUCUAGAAAUGCAUAUGUAUCUUGAAACUAGAAAUGUAUCUAUUAAUCAAUCCAUAAUGUAUCUAGCUUAUUAAUUUCUAACAUGCCCCCUUAAGCUAGACUUCCCAAACUCCGAGCUUCUCUUUCAUUUUCAAGAAUGAAUCUGUCUUUAAUGCUUUUGUGAAUACGUCUGCAACUUGAUCUUGAGUCUUGCAAUACCUGAUAUAUACUUCUCCAUCUUUGAUCAAUUCUCUGAUGAAAUGAUAUUUGAUGUUUAUGUGUUUGCUUCUUCCAUGAAAAACGGGAUUCUUCGAAAGUGAAAUAGAUGAUUGAUUGUCACAGAACAUGAUGGUCCCUUUCUCUUGAGGACACUUCAAUUCAUGUAGUACAUUUCUUAGCCAAAGUGCUUGUAAUGCCCAAAGAAAAGGUAAAUAUAUAUAUUAUAUAUAUAUAUAUAUAUAUAUAUAUAUAUAUAUAUAUUUUAUUUUUAUUUUAAUAUUAAAAAAAUUCUUUAUUAUUUUUCUUUUCUUCUUUUUCUUUUUCUUUUCUUUUCUCCCUUCUUCCUCCCGUGCGCCGCGACCCUCCUUCCCCUUCUCUCCGUUCGCGCAGCAACCGCCCCAACCGUCCUCUUCUCCUUCCUCCCGUGCGCCGCGACGACCCAACCAUCUUCUUCUCUUCCGUUCGCAGCAGCUGUCGGCCGCCGCGUCUCCCCUACUGAAGCCGAGCGCCGCCACCUCCAUUCCGUUCUCCAUCUCCGUUCGCGAAGCAGCCUUGCAGCAGCCGCCCCGUAACUAUCCGGUCCAGAUCUGCGGCGCCGUUGCUCUUCCGCCGCUGCCCAGCCGUCUCAGCCGGUUCUGUCUCCGUCGAAGCCACGGUUCUGCAACCGUCUCCGCCGUCUCUAUCUCCGUCCGCGAGGCAAGUCGCACGCCUCAGUCACGAACAGCCUCGCUGACGCAGGUCACGCCGCAUCGCACGAGUUCGGCUACGUUGCCGGGCUACUCCCGUCCGCGCUUAACUGCUGUUGAACGUCCGAACCGUUCUGCCUUCGUCGAUACCCGCUGUCCCAUUUACGAAUCGCGGACCGGUUCGCGUGCAGAAGUGUUUUGCACGAUGUCUUUUGUGUAGAUCCUGCGACAACUUCUAUUUAACGUCGAUUGUCAAAGUCUUGUUACAAGAUAUUGGUAAGGAUGAGAUUGUUCGGUAAUAAGGUCUUACAUUUGUAAAUACAUUAAGAUGUGAUGUUGUUUAAUUGGUUGAAUUGAUCUUUGUUCUUGAAGGCGACAUCGGUGAUUUGGAGUUAGUGUCCUUGAGUUACUCCUUAAGCUUUGUUGGAGUUCGAUUCUUUACUCUUGGGGUUUGUUUGUUGGAAUUAGUUCGACCAAGAAAUUUUACAUAAAAUCGAGGUAAGGGAUUUUCUACUGGACUCACUUAUGAUUGUGAAUUGUAUGUCUGUAUGAUUAUCUCUGACUGAGUAAAGAUGAUGAGAUGAUAUAUAUAUAUACACACGUAUGGAUGUAGCUUCGGUGUUGAAUGUAUAUUGUGGAUUGACUGAAAAUAUAUAUAUGCAUAUGAAUUGAAGUAGACUUAAUGUUGAAUGCAUAUUGUGAUUGUCAUGGAAUAUAUAUAUGUGUGUGUGGAUGUGGACAGGACGAAAAUUGUAGAUUGUGCUUGUAUGAGAUGCAGAUGCGAACUUGUGAUUGUCGUUUAGAUUGGGUGUACGUUACGCUAAAGUAUGACUGUGUGCUGGUGAACUGAGGGGUGUAUUGACUGUAUAGUGGAUUGACUGAUGUAUUAGCAUUUUAUUGACAGACAUAUGAUUGUAGUAAAAUAAGUUGACUGUUAGGAUGUUGAAAGAAAGGACUUUGUGAUUUGAAGUAACUGAAAGAUGGGUUGAAUGGAAUGAGGGGAUAAAUUGUUAGGUUGUAUUGGGAUGUUUACCUUGUAGGUGUCCCACGGGAUCACCAAUUUAUUUUGCACCUUCGGAGCAUUUGACUGAUAUGUGUUUCUGCAGAACACUUGACUGAUAUGUACGUCCCUCGGGGCGUUAGACUGAUAUGUACGUCCCUCGGGGCGUUAGACUGAUAUGUACGUCCCUCGGGGCGUCAGACUGAUAUGUACGUCCUUCGGGGCGUUAGACUGAAAUGUGUAUCCUACGGGAUCACAAGACUGGCGACUGUACAGGGUGUCCCAAUAGAACUUUAACAAUUUAUUUUCCCCUGACGAGACCAGUAGAGGGUCUCUUACUGAGUAUUGUUAUACUCACCCUUCUUAUGUUUAAUUUUCAGGCAAAGGAAAUAAAGGUGGCAAACCGGCGAGGGGCAGGAAGGAAGCGUGAUUGCCAUAGGGAAUGUGUUAUUUUGCUUCCGCUUAUGAUUUCUUUUAAGGUUUAAGAUGUACUAAAUGUUAGUUUACAAACUUUUAUUUGUAAAUAGUGUUAUUGUUAAGUUUUCUUGAAUAUUUGAAAAUCAGGCCUGACAUGUUUUGUUUUUAAAUUGACUUAUGUUUCAAUUUGUAUCAAUCAAAGUUUAUUUGUUAAAAAUUAACGACCUCGACUUACCCAGAAAAGUUGGGCCGUUACAGUGCUUGACAACUAGCAACAGACAAAGAAAUGUAUUCAGCUUCUGUUGUGGACAGUGCUACAACAUCUUGCUUCUUUGAUGCCCAUGAAACUGCUCCAGAACCAAUAUUAAAUACAUACCCUGAAGUACUUUUGAAAUCAUCAAUAUUUCCUCCCCAAUCACUAUCACUGUAGCCAACAAGAACAUUAUCCACAUUCCUUUUAUAGUGGAUUCCAUGAUCAACAGUUCCAAGAAUGUAUCUAAGAACUCUCUUUCCAGCUUCCCAAUGACUUCUCUUUGGUGAUGUCAUAAAUCUACUCAAUAAACUGACCGAGAACAUAAUAUCAUGUCUAGUUGUAGUUAAAUACAUUAAACUUCCAACCAAACUUCUAUAAAUGGUGGCAUCAAAAGCUUCACUAACACCAUGCUUACUUAACUUUAAACCCAAUUCCAUAGGAGUACUGGCAGGAUAAGCAUUCUCCAUUUUGAACUUUUUCAACAAAUCUUUUGCAUACUUCUUUUGGAAAAUUGCAAUCUCAUUAUCACCUUGUUUAACUUCAAUACCAAGAAAAUAAUGAAGUAAACCCAUAUCAGUCAUCUCAAAUUCCUUUUUCAUGCUCUCUCUGAAUUCUUCAAUCAUCAUAUUUGAGUUGCCCGUAAAUAUUAAAUCAUCAACAUAUAGACAAAUUAUCAAGAAAUUACCAUUUUCAUCUUCUUUGGUGUAGAGAGCAUGUUCAUAUGGACAUCUUCUGAAACCAUCCUUUAAGAAAAAAUUGUCGAUGCGACUGUACCAAGCCCUUGGUGCUUGCUUUAGCCCAUACAAGGCUUUCUUUAAUCGACACACCUUAUUUUCUUCUCCAAUCUUUGCAUAACCGGGGGGUUGCUCAACAUAUAUUUCAUCCUCUAAAUACCCAUUUAGGAAUGCUGACUUUACAUCCAUUUGAUGAACUUUCCAGUUAUUUUUUGCUGCAAGGGCUAACAACAAACGAACAGUCUCCAAGCGAGUUACCGGUGCAAAAACUUCUUCAUAAUCCACACCAAACUUUUGUUUGUAACCUUUUACAACGAGUCUGGCUUUGUAUUUUUGCACUUCUCCGUUUUGCUUUAGCUUUGUUCUAUAGAUCCAUUUGACUCCAAGAGCCUUUUUAUUUUCUGGUAAUUUUACCAACUCCCAUGUCUCGUUUCUUCUUAUUGCAUCAAUCUCUUGAUUCAUUGCAUCUUUCCAAUUUUCAUCUUGAAUUGCUUCUUCAAAGUAUACAGGAUCAACAUUUGCAAAUAAAGCAAAAUCAACAUGUUCUUCAUCUAGUAUCCUUCUUGAAGUAUUAUAGAUCUCUUGAAUAUUUCUGGUCUUCCUUGGAGUAGUUUCUUCAUCACUUGUGGAGUGUGAUGAAGAAGGUGAAGUCAGUGGUUGAGUUACUUCAAGCUCCAAGUCUCGAGCAUCUUUUUUUCCAUCCAUAUCAACAUGUAAUGGAUUUUGGUCUUCAUUUGGUGCAUUCCAUUGCCACAAUUUUGCUUCAUCGAACUUGACAUCUCGACUAAUAAUAACUUUCUUACUUAUCGGAUUGUAUAGUCUGUAGGCCUUAGAGUUCUCACUGUACCCAACAAAAAUGCAUUUCUCUGAUUUAUCAUCUAGCUUACCUCUUUUCUCAUCUGAAAUGUGAGAGUAAGCAAUGCACCCAAACACUCUUAGGUGACUAACAGUUGGUUUCAAUCCGCUCCAUGCUUCUUGAGGAGUAAUACCUUGCACACUUUUCGUUGAAGCUCUAUUUAGGAGAUAAACAGCACAAGUUACUGCGUCUCCCCAAAAUUGAUCAGGAAGCUUCUUUGCCUUCAACAUACUUCUUGCAAGUUCCAUUAUUAUUCUAUUUUUCCUCUCUGCAACUCCGUUUUGUUGAGGAGUUCUUCGAACAGUCUUCUGAUGCUUGAUUCCAUUUUCCUUCAAGAAAUCUGCAAAAACAAUAUAUUCUCCUCCACGAUCCGAACGCAAUGAUUUCAAUUUCAAGUUACUUUCAUUUUCCACCAUUGCUUUGAAUGUCUUGAAACAUUCGAAAGUAGCACUCUUUUCUUUUAGUAGAUAAAUCCAUGUUUUUCGACUGUAGUCAUCAAUAAAUGUGAGAAAAUAACGGUUACCUCCAUGUGUAGUAGUUCUCAUAGGUCCACAUAAGUCUGUAUGAACAAGCUCGAGUGGUUUUGAUGCUCUCCAAGAACCUCCAGUCGGAAAUGAAUUUCGAUGAUGCUUUCCGAAAACACAUGCUUCACAGAGUUGAUCUUCCUUUUUAAUAUUUGACAUUCCUCUCACCGUAUGUUGUUGACACAUGUGAGACAAAGUGUCAAAACUUAGGUGCCCAAAUCGACAAUGCCAUAACCAUGAGGUGUCAUUUACUAAAGUCUCAAAACAAACAAGCUUCUCAUAACAUAUUUUAAUUGGAAACAUUUUGUUGUGAGUCAUACGAACCUUCGUUAUGAGAUCUCCAUUCUUGGUUCUAAUCUCACAUAUGUUAUCUUUAAAAAUAGCAUCAUGUCCUCUUAGGAGAAGUUGUCCAACACUUAAAAGAUUGUGUUUGAGACCUGAAACAUAAUACACAUCAGUAAUUUUUUUUGCUCCCAUUUUUGUCUUGACAAGAAUAUCUCCUUUUCCUUUGACUUCAAGCAUCUUGUUGUCACCAGUCUUCACUACACUUUGAUGAGAUUCAUCUAAAGAUAUAAAAAUAUCCUUUCUUCCUGUCAUGUGGUUACUACAACCACUAUCAAGAUACCAUAUUUCUUCAGUGCUUGAUUCUUGAACAUUGAGAGUGAGGAAGAGAAGACCUUGAUCAUUAUUUGAUUGCUCAUGCAUUAGUGUGGUUUCUGCUUGAUUAGAAUUAGUCUUCUUAGACCAACAGUCUGCUUGAAAAUGUCCAUAACGUCUACAAUUGAAACAUUGUAUGUGAGAAAAAUCUCCACGACCAUCACUUCUACCUCUUUUUAUCACUGAACUCUCUCUCUUUGCAUUUUCCUUCCGUCCUCUAUUUGAAAAAAAAUUGAUUGUCUCUGCUUUCUGACUCUGUAUUUGUUACAACGUUGGAUCGUCCAUUGCCUCUACCACCACGUCCACCUCUUCUUCCAUUGGACCGACCUCUAUAGGAGGACUGCAUAUGAAAAGCUUCUUCUGAAGGAUUAGAAUCAAACAUCUUCAAUCUGAGCUCAUGAGAUUGAAGAGAUCCCAUUAAGCUAUUUAUAGAGAGAGUUGACAAAUCUUUGGAUUCUUCAAUUGCUACAACAAUAUGCUCAUAUCUUCUAGUCAUGCUUCUAAGAAUCUUCUCAACAAUCCUUUGAUCUUCAAUUGUUUCUCCAUUUGAUCUCAAUUGAUUAACAAUUAAGAGAACACGGUUGAAAAAUUCUUCAAUAGUUUCAGAAUCUUUCAUUCGAAUUGUAUCAAAUUCAGCUCGAAGUGUUUGUAAUCGGACCAAUUUUACCUUUUCUUCUCCUUCAUACAAAUUUUGCAAUGCAUCCCAUGCUGCUUUAGCAGUAGAGACUCCUGAUAUUCUUUCAAAAAUAUUUUCAUCCACAGAUUGGUAGAUGAAAAAUAAUGCCUUCUUAUCCUUUUUUCUAGCAUCUCUCAACUCAUUGAGUUGUUGUGCUGAAAGACCAUUCUCACUUUCUGGCUCUGAAUAUCCGAUGUCAACAAUAUCCCAAAGAUCUUGAGAUCCAUAAAGAACCUUCAUUUGCUGGCUCCACCGCCUAUAGUUUUUUCCCUCAAAAUGAGGAAGUUGAGGCUGCAACAUGUUAGAUGACAUCUUUCAAUCCUUGCUCUGAUACCACUUUGUUGGAGGCGUUGACGAGCCCACUCUAAAUUUACUCUAAAUCUCACAAACUUUUAAGAGAAGAAAUUUGUUCUCUUAGAAAACUCAAUAACACACAAGAGAAGAAUGUUGUUCUCUUGAAACUCACUUACUUUCUAAAACUCAAUUUGCUUCUAUUGAUUUGAUUCUUUUUAUCUUGUAUACAAAUGAAGGAAAUGAUCUCUAUAUAUAGUAUUCAAGAGACACUUCCUAAAAGACACAAAAUAAAUGAAGUACAUGAAUACAUACCAUUCAUGUACUUGAAUAAUUACAUGUAUCUAGAAAUGCAUAUGUAUCUUGAAACUAGAAAUGUAUCUAUUAAUGUGUUAUCCAUAAUGUAUCUAGCUUAUUAAUUUCUAACAUCUACCACUUAUAUUACAGUUCUGCACAAAUAGAUAAAUAAUUUGCAAUUUGUUUCAAUUUUACUCUUGAAUCUACAUUGGGAUAAAAAGUAGUGACACCGAGGAAUAGUUUUUCUUUUUACCACUACUAGAUGAUCUUCCUUCUUUAAUAUGGAUGUAACUUGUUGUAACGACCCAACUUUUCUGGGUAAGUCGAGGUCGUUAAUUUUUGACAAAAGACUUUGAUUGAUACAAAAUGAAACGUAAGUCAAUUUAAAAACAAAUUAUGUCAGGCCUGAUUUUCAAAUAUUCAAGAAAACUUAAAAAUAACACUAUUUACAAAUAAAAGUUUGUAAACUAAGUUUUGAGUACAUCUUAAACCUCAAAAGAAACCAUAAGCGGAAGCAAAAUGACACAUUUCCUAUGGCAAUCACGCUUCCUUCCUGCCCCUCGCCGGUUUGCCACCUUUAUUUCCUUUGCCUGAAAAUUAAACAUAAGAAGGGUGAGUAUAACAAUACUCAGUAAGAGACCCUCUACUGGUCUCGUCAGGGGAAAAUAAAUUGUUAAAGUUCUAUUGGGACACCCUGUACAGUCGCAGUCUUGUGAUCCCGUAGGAUACACAUCUCAGUCUAACGCCCCGUACUAGGACGUACAUAUCAGUCUAACGCCCCGAGGGACGUACAUAUCAGUCUAACGCCCUGAGGGACGUACAUAUCAGUCUAGUGUUCUGCAAAAACACAUAUCAGUCAAAUGCUCCCGAAGGUGCACAAUAAAUUGGUGAUCCCGUGGGACACCUACAAGGUAAACAUCCCAAUACAAUCUAACAAUUUAUCCCCUCAUUCCAUUCAACCCAUCUUUCAGUUACUUCAAGUCACAAAGUUCUUUCUUUCAACAUCCUAACAGUCAACUUAUUUUACUACAGUCAUAUGUCUGUCAAUAAUAUGCUAAUACAUCAGUCAAUCCACUAUACAGUCAAUGCACCCCUCAGUUCACCAGCACACAGUCAUACUUUAGCGUAAUCAUACACCCAAUCUAAACGAGAAUCUCAUACAAACACAAUCUACAAUCUCCGUCCUGUCCACAUACACACAUUUAUAUAUAGAUUCCAUGACAAUCACGACAUACAUUCGACGUCAAGUCUACUUCAAUUCAUAUACAUUCAUAUAUAUUUUCAGUCAGCCCACAGUAUACAUUCAACACACAUGCAGUUCACAAUCACAGUUCACAAUCACAAUUGAGUCCAGUAGAAAAUCCCUUACCUGGAUCUUUAUGUAAAAUUCCUUAGUCGAACUAACUUCAACAAACAAACCCCAAGAGUAAAGAAUCGAACUCCAACAAAGCUUAAGGCGUAACUCAAGGACACUAACUCAAGGACACUAACUCCAAAUCACCGAUGUCGCCUUCAAGAACAAAGAUCAAUUCAACCAAUUAAACAACAUCACAUCUUAAUGUAUUUACAAAUGUAAGACCUUAUUACCGAACAAUCUCAUCCUUACCAAUAUCUUGUAACAAGACUUUGACAAUCGACGUUAAAUAGAAGUUGCCGCAGGAUCUACACAAAAGACAUCGUGCAAAACACUUUUGCACGCGAACUGGUCCGCGAUUCGUAAAUGGGACAGCGGGUAUCGACGAAGGCAGAACGGUUCGGACGUUCAACAGCAGUUACGUGCGGACGGGAGUAGCCCGGCAACGUAGCCGAAUUCGUGCGAUGCGGCGUGACCUGCGUCGGCGAGGCUGUUCGUGACUGAGGCGUGCGACUUGCCUCGCGGACGGAGAUAGAGACGGCGGAUACGGUUGCAAAACCGUGGCUUCGACAGAGAUAGAACCGGCUGAGACGGUUGGGCAGCGGCGGAAGAGCAACGACGCCGCAGAUCUGGACUGGCAGCGGCGCAGUCUUGCUUCGCGGCGGGGCUGCGGACGGAAGAAGAAAAUGGAAGGAAAGGAUCGGCGGCUGGCUGCGGUUGGCUGCGGCGGGACGGGAAGAAGAAGAUAGAGGUGGUGGUAGCGGCUGGGCUGCGGCUGGCCACGAACGGAAGGAGAAGAGGACGGUUGGGGCGGUUGCUGCACGAACGGAGAGAAGGGGAAGGAGGGUCGCGGCGCACGGGAGGAAGAAGAAAAGGGAAAAAAAAAGAAAUUUUCUUUUUCUUUUUCUUUUUAUUUAAAAAAAUAUAUAAAAUAAUUAUAAUAAAAUAUAUAUAUAUAUAUAUAUAUAUAUAUAUUUAAAAUUUUCAUUUUCUUUUCUUUUAUUUAAUAAAAUGUAGAAUAAAUAUUAAUAAGUAAAAUAUAAUUAAAUACAUAUAUAUUUAAUUAUAUUAAUACAUUUUCAAAUCUUCUUUCUCCCCUUCAACAUAUUUAAAAAAAAAUCUUGAACAAAUCGAAAUAAUUCUCUCAAAAUAAUUUACCUUCAAGUUUGGGGCGUUACAUUCUUUCCUCCUUAAGAAACUUUCGUCCUCGAAAGUUCUAAUCCUGAAAUAACUCUGGAUAACGAGUCCUCAUCUCUUCCUCUCGCUCCCAUGUCGCCUCUUCAAUUCGAUGAUUCCGCCACAAAACCUUUACUAAUGGAAUGCUUCUAUUACGAAGCAUCUUUACCUCUCUAGCCAGAAUCUCCACAGGUUGUUCUACAUAGCUCAAAUGCUCAUCAAUCUCCAAGGGUUCAUAGUCCACUACAUGAGAUGUAUCGGCCACAUACUUCCUCAACAUCGAAACAUGGAAAACAUUAUGGACUGCAGAGAGAGAUGAUGGUAAUGCCAAGCGAUACGUCACAACACCAACCCUCUCUAAGAUCUCAAAUAGUCCAACAAAUCGAGGACUUAACUUCCAUUUCUUCUCAAAACGCAUAACACCCUUCAUAGGUGCUACCUUCAAGAAUACCUUUUCUCCCACAUCGAACUUAAGGUCUUUUCGCCGUACAUCCGCAUAACUCUUCUGUCUACUCUGCGCUGUUUGCAUACGUGCUCUAAUCUUUUGAAUAGCCUCAUUAGUAGACCGAACUAAUUCAGGUCCCAUCAAUCUAUGUUCACCAACCUCACCCCAACAAACAGGGGUUCUACAACAUUUGCCAUACAAAGCCUCAAAUGGUGCCAUACCGAUGGUAGCCUGAAAACUGUUGUUAUAAGCAAACUCCAUCAAAUGUAGAUGAGAGUCCCAACUACCUGGAAACUCUAUAACACAAGCUCGUAGCAUAUCCUCUAAAACUUGGUUCAAACGUUCAGUUUGACCAUCAGUCUGUGGAUGAAAGGCUGUACUAAAAUCCAAUCUCGUACCCAUAGCAGUCUGAAGUCCCUUCCAAAACUUGGAAGUAAACCGUGCAUCCCUAUCAGAAACAAUCGAUACAGGCACUCCAUGCAGUCUCACAAUCUCAGUUAAAUACAACUCUGCCCACUUACUAGCAGUAUAAGUGGAUUUCCCUGGUACAAAAUGUGCCGAUUUCGUAAGCCUAUCGACAAUAACCCAAAUCACUGUGUAACCCUUCAGGGUUUUAGGCAAUUAUAUAAUAAAAUCCAUAGAUACAUUCUCCCACUUCCACUCUAAUAUACUCAAAGGUUGCAACAAACCUGUUGUUUUCUAUCUUGGUGCUUUAACCUACUAGCACACCAAGCACUUACUAACAAGAUUUUCCAUUUCUCUCUUCAUAUUACGCUAGUAACAAACUCUUUUCAAAUCCGGAUACAUUUUUGUGCUACUUGGAUGCAUGAGAAAUGGGAAACUAUGAGUCUCAACCAAUAACCUUGUCUUAAUUGCAUUUUCUGUUGGCACACACAAUUCUCUCUCAAACAUAAGUUCAUCAUCAAAGGAUAUGGAAAACUCCUUAACUUGCCCUACUUCUACUAGGCGAUGCUUCUCAAUCAAAUAAGGAUCAAUGAAUUGAACCACAAGAAUUCUUUGUCUCAAGAUCGGAUGUACUGACAACUGAGCUAACUGUGAGGUGACUUCCCCCACUGAAACUACAAUCUCAGCUCUCUCGUGGUUUUUGUCUAAUGAAACCUGUCUGGUAAUAAGUGCUGUCAAAAUGUGAUACUUUUCUACGAAGAGCACCAACUUCCACAUUCGCCUUACCUAGAUGGUACAAAAUCUCACAAUCAUAGUCAUUUACUAACUGAAACCAUCUUUGCUAUCUCAUACUCAACUUCUUUUGAGUGAAGAAGUAUUUUAUACUCUUUUGGUUAGAAAAUAUCUAUAUCUUUUCAUCAUACAUAUAGUGCCUUCAAAUCAUUAAUGUAAAAACCACAACUGUCAAUUCCAUAUCAUAAGUUGGACAAUUUUCCUCACGAGGAGUACAAGCAACUACUUUAACUUGUUGAAUAAGAAUACCUUUUAAACUUUCCUAAAAGCAUCACUAUAAAUUACGGAACAUUCUGAACCAUCAUGUACGGUAAGCACGGGAGUUGUACAAGCUUCUGCUUAAGAUCCUGAACACUAUCCUCAUAGGCUUUGUCCCAAACAAACGGAGUCCCUUUUCUUAGUUAACUGAGUCAAAGGAGUAGCUAUACGAGAAAAUUCUUAUACAAACCGUUAGUAAUAACCUGCUAACCCUAAAAGACUAUGAACCUCACUGACUAUGAAAAGUCGAGGCCAACUAGUAACAACUUCAAUCUUUUGUGAGAUCCACAUAAAUGUCACCUCUAGAUACCACAUGGCUUGGAAAGAUACUUGGCCUCAUCCAAAACUCACAUUUUGAAAACUUUGCAUACAAUUUGUUGACUCGAAGAGCCUCUUAAAACCAUGUUAAAUGCUCCUCAUGCGCUGUCUCUAUUUUGGAAUAAAUUAAGAUAUCGUCAAUAAAUACAAUCAUGAAAGUGUCUAAGAGAUCGUUAAACACUUUGUUCAUCAAGUCGUAAACAUUGUUUGAGCAUUUGCCCACUCAAAAGACAUCAUAAUGAACUCGUGAUGUCCAUAUCUCGAACGAAAAUCUGCCUUAGGAAUGUCACUGUUCUCUAAUCCUCAACAAGUCAUAACCUGAAUGUAAUUCAAUCUUAAAGAACACGGACUUAUUGCAGUUGAUCAAACAAAUCCUCAUUCAUUGGUAAAAGAUAUUUAUUCUUAACCGACACCUUAUUCAACUUUCUACAAUCAAAACAUAAGUGCAUCGACCCAUCUUUCUUCUUAAUAAACAAAAAUUGGUGCACCCCAAGAUAACAUACUUCGUCGAAUGUAGUCCUUGUCAAACAUUUCUUUCAAUUGCACCUUCAAAUCUUUCAACUCUGUUGGGGCCAUUUUGUAUGAAGCUUUAGAUAUAGGAACGAGUCUAACUCUAUCUCAAUAGCAAGACCAAUUUCUGUUUAGCGCGGUAAUCUUAGAAACUCUUCUAGAAAAAUAUCAUAAUACUUUUUCACCACUGAUUCAAAUAACAAAGAAACAUCGACUUCUCUGGUGUCUACCACACUAGUCAAAUACAACAGGUACCCUGGUCAAGCAACUUACUAACCUUCAUAGCUGGGAUAACUUUUAGCGAAACGAUAGUUCCAACCUCUUUGUACUUGAAACUAGCCUCUGGAGAAGGAUUAGAAACUACAUUUUCGCUGAACAUUUUAUGUUUACAUGGUUAAACUACAUUCCAACUUUCAAACUCCAAACUAGUAACUUUUCAUUCACGAGAAACAAAACUCAAAAUUGUUUCUUAAAGUCACAUCAAGACAACCAUGCUCAUCUUCCUUGUUUCUUUUCCAAUACCUCCAUUCUAAAACCAUUUAAUGUGUUUCGUAUAAACUUGACCGUGUAUUUAGUCCUCUUUAAAACCACCUACAUAACUUAUUUUUCUUAGAUUUCCAAUCACAAAACAGACAAUUUCGCUAACAACGUCUUACUUUUCUACUACUCGACCACUCCUUUGAACAUCUCUACAUGGCAACAUUUUUCCUAAGUUUCACCAUUAAAUCCUUCACCAUUAAAUCAUAACAUUCAUGUAAUUCUAGUUUAACUUAGGCAAGGUCAUAUACAUAAACCAUACAUAUAAACAUAAAGCAUACCUGACGAGAGACGAAGGGUCGCGUUAGCCAUAGGAACACAAAAACAUAGACUUACAUCGUAAGUCAGUCUACAGAACCUAAAACUUAGGCUCUGAUACCAACUGUAAUGACCCAACUUUUCUGGGUAAGUCGAGGUCGUUAAUUUUUGACAAAAGAUUUUGAUUGAUACAAAAUGAAACGUAAGUCAAUUUAAAAACAAAUUAUGUCAGGUCUGAUUUUCAAAUAUUCAAGAAAACUUAAAAAUAACACUAUUUACAAAUAAAAGUUUGUAAACUAAGUUUUGAGUACAUCUUAAACCUCAAAAGAAACCAUAAGCGGAAGCAAAAUGACACAUUUCCUAUGGCAAUCACGCUUCCUUCCUGCCCCUCGCCGGUUUGCCACCUUUAUUUCCUUUGCCUGAAAAUUAAACAUAAGAAGGGUGAGUAUAACAAUACUCAGUAAGAGACCCUCUACUGGUCUCGUCAGGGGAAAAUAAAUUGUUAAAGUUCUAUUGGGACACCCUGUACAGUCGCAGUCUUGUGAUCCCGUAGGAUACACAUCUCAGUCUAACGCCCCGAGGGACGUACAUAUCAGUCUAACGCCCCGAGGGACGUACAUAUCAGUCUAACGCCCCGAGGGACGUACAUAUCAGUCUAACGCCUCGAGGGACGUACAUAUCAGUCUAGUGUUCUGCAAAAACACAUAUCAGUCAAAUGCUCCCGAAGGUGCACAAUAAAUUGGUGAUCCCGUGGGACACCUACAAGGUAAACAUCCCAAUACAAUCUAACAAUUUAUCCCCUCAUUCCAUUCAACCCAUCUUUCAGUUACUUCAAGUCACAAAGUUCUUUCUUUCAACAUCCUAACAGUCAACUUAUUUUACUACAGUCAUAUGUCUG
rnacentral:lncRNA from 1 species